rnacentral:lncRNA from 1 species
UCGUCAAAAGAAGCUUUCAAACAGAUUAUGAAAGCUCUCAAAGAUGACAAGGUCAAUAUGAUCGGACUGUACGGCAUGGGAGGGGUGGGUAAAACCACCCUGGUGAAAGAAGUAGGCAGGAGAGCCAAAGAGUUGCACCUUUUUGAUGAAGUUUUGAUAGCUACGGUGUCCCAGAAUCCAAAUGCCACAGGCAUCCAGGAUCAAAUGGCAGAUAGUUUAGAUCUGCAAUUUGACAAGAAGAGUAAAGAAGGGAGAGCAAAAGAACUAUGGCAGAGACUGCAGGGAAAGAAGAUGCUUAUAGUCCUGGAUGAUGUUUGGAAAGAUAUUGACUUCCAAGAGAUAGGGAUCCCAUUUGGUGAUGAUCACAGGGGUUGUAAAAUUCUUCUAACAACACGUCUUGAAGACAUGUGUUCUUAUAUGAAGUGCAAGGAAAAAGUUUUUUUAUGUCUCUUUUCUAAAGAGGAAGCAUGGGCUUUAUUCAGAAUCAAUGCAGCUUUACGUGACGAGGACUCUACCUUGAACAGGGUGGCAAAGAAGGUUGCGAGAGAAUGUAAUGGAUUGCCUGUAGCACUUGUGACAGUGGGAAGGGCUCUAAGAGAUAAAUCUGUUGUUGAGUGGGAAGUAGCGUCUGAAGAGCUCAAAAACUCUCAAUUUCGGCAUUUGGAACAAAUUGACGGACAAAAAAAUGCAUAUGCAUGUCUUAAGUUGAGCUAUGAUUAUUUGACGUCCGAUGAAACCAAGUCAUGUUUCUUGCUAUGCUGUUUAUUUCCAGAAGAUUACGACAUUCCGAUUGAGGACUUGACGAGAUACGCAGUUGGCUAUGGGUUACAUAAAGAUGCGGAGUCCAUUGAAGAUGCAAGGAAACGAGUUUAUGUGGCAAUCAAAAACCUCAAAGCUUGUUGUAUGCUGUUAGGAACUUUUAGUGAAGAAUAUGUCAAAAUGCAUGACUUGGUUCGUGAUGUUGCUAUUCGGAUAGCAUCAUCAGAAAAAUACGGAUUCAUGGUAAAGGCUGGCAUUGGGUUGCUAGAGUGGCCAACGAGCAAUAAAAGCUUUGAAGGUUGUACAACAAUUUCGUUAAUGGGCAAUAAACUAGCAGAACUUCCUGAAGGAUUGGUGUGUCCACAGCUCAAAGUUCUAUUGUUAGGACUGGAUCGUGGUUUGAAUGUUCCAGAGAGGUUUUUUGAAGGGAUGAAAGCAAUAGAAGUUUUGUCUCUAAAGGGAGGGUGUUUGUCAUUGCAAUCACUUCAAUUCUCAACGAACCUUCAAUCGUUGCUGUUGAUCGAGUGUGAAUGCAAGGACCUCAUUUGGUUGAGAAAGCUGCAAAGACUUAAUAUUCUUGUUUUCAGGCGGUGCGGCUCCAUUGAAGAAUUACCUGAUGAAAUUGGGGAGCUCAAGGAGUUGAGGUUGUUGGAUUUGACAGGUUGUGAAAAUCUAAGAAGGAUUCCUGUGAAUUUGAUAGGAAGGUUGAAGAAGUUAGAAGAACUGCUGAUCGGGGAUCGGAGCUUCAAGGGAUGGGAUGUUGUUGGAUGUGACAGCACAGAAGGAAUGAAUGCAAGCCUAACAGAACUAAACUCGUUGUCUCAUUUAGCUGUAUUAUCAUUGAAGAUACCGAAGGUUGAAUGCAUUCCCAGAGAUUUUGUUUUUCCCAGGUUGCUCAAAUAUGAUAUAGUGUUAGGGGAUUGGUAUUCAGGACCCCAUAAAGAAUACCCAACCUCGACAAGAUUAUAUUUGGGUGAUAUAAGCGCCACAUCCUUAAAUGCAAAGACAUUUGAGCAGUUGUUUCCUACCGUGUCUCAUAUUUGGUUUUGGAGAGUGGAGGGUUUAAGAAAUAUAGUAUUGUCCUCUGAUCAGAUGACCUCCCAUGGCCAUGGGUCGCAAAAGGACUUCUUUCAAAGAUUAGAAUAUGUAGCAGUGAGAGAAUGUGAUGAUAUUCGCACUCUGUUUCCAGCAAAAUGGCGGCAAGCUUUGAAAAAUCUAAGGAGAGUGGAAAUUGAAGACUGCCAAUCAUUGGAUGAAGGAAUUAACGAGGAGAAGGAGCUGCCAUUUUUAACGGAGUUACAGCUGUCCUGGUUACCUGAGCUCAAAUGUAUAUGGAAGGGGCCCACUAGACAUGUCAGCCUCCAAAGUCUUACUCGUCUGGAGCUCAGAUGUCUUAACAAACUGACAUUUAUCUUUACUCCGUCCCUCGCUCAAAGUUUUAUUCAUCUGGAAACGCUACGGAUAGAAAAUUGCCAUGGAUUGAAGCGUCUUAUCAGAGAACAGGAUGACGAAAUCAGGACAGAGUCUCUUGGCUUCCCAAAAUUAAAAAAUCUCUCUAUAAUAUUCUGUGAUAAACUUGAAUAUGUCUUCCCUGUCUCCGUGUCUCCAAGUCUUCAGAACCUGGAAGAGAUGCAGAUUGUUUUUGCUGACAAUUUAAAGUCUCUUGUAUUUUACAGUGGAGAAGGAGAUGACAUCAUCGUCAAGUCUAAAAUUAAAGAUGGCAUCAUCGACUUCCCUCAGCUAAGAGAAUUGUCUCUUUCAAAGUGCAGCUUUUUUGGUCCAAAGGAUUUUGCUGCCCUAUUGCCUUCUUUGCAAUGUCUAAGGAUCUCUGGCCUUGAAGAAUGGGGUAAUUUGUUGGCACAGCUUCGAGUACGUCCUUUAAAUUGUCAACUUCAAUACAUUGUGAUAAUUUGUUCUAUCUUCCUCCAAAUUUCUAAAACUAAACUAAACUAAACUUCCACUGAAUUUAAUUGAUGAUUUAAAUUGGCUUAGGAAGUUAGACAUCAAUUACUGUAAUAUAAUUUCUUAUCUCAUCCUUCAGAUUCUAAAACUAAAGUAGUGGAUAAAUCCUUUAGCCAUCCACUGAAUUUAAAAGGAGUGAAAUUGAGGCUCUUCCGCCAAUUAAUGGAAAGUAUUUGGACAGAACGAUAAAGCUCCGUCUGAGAAUAUUGAGUUUUUUGUUUCAGUGCUGCAACUUAUGAUGUCAUGGUUCAAAAAAUUAAUAAAAAUUGGUUUUUUUAUCCAAUUUUUUAAGCAAUUAGAUUCAAAAAGCAAAAAUUGAAACUUUCUUUUUAAAUGCAAUAUUUUUCUCAUUCAAAGAACUUCAAAAGCACCAAAUUUGUAUUGAGUUCCAAAAACAUAUUUUUUUAAUAUUUUUUUCAUUUUUUUUACGAUUUGUUUUCACUUUUUUUUAUGAAAAAAAUAAUUUAAAUGAUCAAUAAUCAAGCAUUUUUAUUAAAAAAAUUUACUAAUAUGUAAAAUUCAAAUUAUUUUCUUUUAUAUUUUUAUUUUUGAAAAAUGUCAUAAUUGUUUUUUUUUAUUAUAAAUCGAAUAUAAAAAAAUAAUUUUUUUGAGUUUAAGUAUAAUUUUUCAUGAUUGCUUUUAAUUUAACUACUAUAAAAUAAUAGUUUGUAUUCAGAUUAUCAUAAAUAUGAAAAAAUAUGAUUUUAUAUUCCCAUGACCCGUUGCCUUGUCUAUCUAUAUCUUCUUGUUGAUAAGUAUUUCGGUAUUGGGAAUAAUUGGUUCAUCUAUUUAACAAAAUUAUAUAAUAGUUUCAAAGUGCACAAAAAUUACUAGGAAUUAUAUCUAAUAAAUUGGUACCCUUAUUUUCUUUUGAUGCAGGGGUUUACAAGUUUGGAAACAUUGAAGUUGUCCUCCCUGCUUGUGCCUGACUUGAGGUGUAUAUGGAAGGGUCUCGUGCCAUGCAAUUUGACUACUUUGGAGGUGAAAGAGUGUAAGAGGCUGACACAUGUAUUCACAGACAGCAUGAUUGCUAGUCUUGUUCAACUGAAAGUUCUAGAGAUAUCAAAUUGUGAGGAAUUGGAGCAAAUCAUUGCUAAGGAUAAUGAUGAUGAAAAGGAUCAGAUAUUUUCAGGAAGUGAUCUCCAAUCUGCAUGCUUUCCUAAUUUGUGUCGACUUGAGAUUAGAGGAUGCAACAAGUUGAAGAAGUUGGAGGUGGAUGGAUGCCCAAAGCUGACCAUAGAAUCUGCUACUACAUCAAAUGACUCAAUGAGUGGUCAAUCAGAGGUGCUGCUGAUUUGACUUGAUUUCUUGCCUCUCAUUUAGUUUUAAAAGUGCGCAAUAAUUACUAUGAAUUACAUCUAACAACUUGGUACCCUUGUUUUCUUUUGAUGCAGGGGUUUAUGAAUUUGAAAGAAAUAUCUAUUGGAAACUUGGAAGGAGUACAAGAUUUAAUGCAAUUUGAACGUUUGGUAACUAAUAGAAGAGGUGGGCAUGAACUUUCACUCGUGAGUUUGGAAACAUUACAGUUGAACUUAUUGCCUGACUUGAGGUGUAUAUGGAAGGGCCUAGUGCCGAGCAAUUUGACUACUUUGAAGGUGAAAAGGUGUAACAGACUGACACAUGUAUUCACAGACAGCAUGAUUGCUAGUCUAGUUCAACUGAAAGUUCUAGAGAUAUCAAACUGUGAGGAAUUGGAGCAAAUCAUUGCUAAGGAUAAUGAUGAUGAAAAGGAUCAGAUAUUUUCAGGAAGUGAUCUCCAAUCUGCAUGCUUUCCUAAUUUGUGUCGACUUGAGAUCAGAGGAUGCAACAAGUUGAAGAGUCUCUUCCCAGAAGCCAUGGCUUCAGGUCUCAAAAAGCUCCAAAUACUUAAAGUAAGAGAAUCCUCUCAAUUAUUGGGAGUAUUUGGGCAGGAUGAUCAUGCUUCACCUGUCAAUGUUGAGAAGGAGAUGAUGCUCCCUGAUCUGCAGGAGUUGUUGCUUGUACAAUUACCAAGUAUUUCCUGCUUUAGUCUCGGAUGUUAUGAUUUCUUGUUCCCUCAUUUGAAGAAGUUGGAGGUGGAUGGAUGCCCAAAGCUGACCACAGAAUCUGCUACUACAUCAAAUGACUCAAUGAGUGCUCAAUCAGAGGUGCUGCUGAUUUGACUUGAUUUCGUGCCUCUUAUUUAGUUUUAAAAGUGCGCAAUAAUUACUAUGAAUUACAUCUAACAAAUUGGUACCCUUGUUUUCUUUUGAUGCAGGGGUUUAUGAAUUUGAAAGAAAUAUCUAUUGGAAACUUGGAAGGAGUACAAGAUUUAAUGCAAGUUGGACGUUUGGUAACUAAUAGAAGAGGUGGGCGUGAACUUUCACUCGUUAGUUUGGAAACAUUACGCUUGAACUUAUUGCCAGACUUGAGGUGUAUAUGGAAGGGUAUCCUGCCGAGCAAUUUGACUACUUUGAAGGUGAACGACUGUAAGAGACUGACACAUGUAUUCACAGACAGCAUGAUUGCUAGUCUAGUUCAACUGAAAGUUCUAGAGAUAUCAGCUUGUGAGGAAUUGGAGCAAAUCGUUGCUAAGGAUAAUGAUGAUGAAAAGGAUCAGAUAUUUUCAGGAAGUGAUCUCCAAUCUGCAUGCUUUCCUAAUUUGUGUCGACUUGAGAUUAGAGGAUGCAACAAGUUGAAGAAGUUGGAGGUGGAUGGAUGCCCAAAGCUGACCAUAGAAUCUGCUACUACAUCAAAUGACUCAAUGAGUGGUCAAUCAGAGGUGCUGCUGAUUUGACUUGAUUUCUUGCCUCUCAUUUAGUUUUAAAAGUGCGCAAUAAUUACUAUGAAUUACAUCUAACAACUUGGUACCCUUGUUUUCUUUUGAUGCAGGGGUUUAUGAAUUUGAAAGAAAUAUCUAUUGGAAACUUGGAAGGAGUACAAGAUGUUAGCGUGAGCUGUACAGUUUAGGAAUUAAUGUUGGCGUGAGCUGUAGAAUCCAAUAUAGGAAUUAUAUUUUUAAUAUUCUGUAAUUGUAUAUAUCCCAAUAUAUAUGGGAUUAAUGUUACUUACCUAGAUAGUUAUCUUGGGAAGGGUUUCUCUAUAUAAGAGAACCACUCUGUAACGUUUGAAGAAUAAGAAAAAGAAGGGAAUACACAGGGCGGCUGCUCUCUGAUUUAUCAUGGUAUCAGAGCUACGUUCCAUUAUUUGUUUCUUGAAGAUCUAGCAAACAACCUAAGGAAAAUAAAGCAUGGCCACACCAAUUGACUUGAUUGAACAAGAACAACCGAAUACAGCUACAACUCUUGAUGAUCUCACGACGAGAAUGGCUCAAAUUGUAACCCAAAACCAGACCCAGACCCCAUCAGUAAUCUAUGAUACUGUUGCUGUACCGAUUGGUAUCAAACUUGAUGGUACCAACUAUGCUUUAUGGUCCCAAAUUGUGGAGAUGUAUAUCUCAGGAAAAGACAAGUUGGGAUACAUAAAUGGUGACCUUCCACAACCAGAACCGAAUGAUCCCCACUUCAGGAGAUGGAGAACAGAAAACUCUAUUGUUAAGGGAUGGCUUAUUAACUCAAUGGAGCCGUCUCUCAUAGGAAACUUUAUCCGAUUUUCCACGGCCAAACAGGUAUGGGACUCGAUCGCCACUACUUACUUUGAUGGAUCCGAUACUUCUCAGGUGUAUGAUUUGAAGCGACGAGUAACACGAAUGAAACAAUCAGGAGAGUCCAUUGAAACAUACUACAAUUGCCUCCAAGGCUUAUGGAGGGAAAUUGAUUUCCGUAGACCAAAUCCUAUGGAAUGUGCUGUUGAUAUUCAAAAGUAUAAUGCUUUGCUUCAAGAGGAUCGAGUGUAUACUUUUUUGGAUGGACUAGAUGAUAGGCUGGACAAUAUACGUAGUGAUGUGCUCCAACUGAAACCUUUCCCAACGGUUGAACAAGCUUAUGCCUAUGUUCGAAGGGAAGCUAUUAGACAGACGGUUAUGCUCACUAAUAAUGGAAAUUCUCCUGCUGCAGCAAUGGUUUCUAGGGGAGGGAAAGCCUACUUACCUCGACAGCAAGCACUCCAAAUAACCAGAUCAGGGACGUCUUCAUCAAGAGGGCGUAACAAUUAUCACCUAGCAAAGACUAAAGGACAGGUGGAGAGUGAAAGCAGUGGCUGUUCUCAUUGUGGAAACAUGAAGCAUACACGGGACACUUGCUUCAAACUGCAUGGCUAUCCAGAAUGGUGGAAUGAAUUAAAAACACGGAAGCAGAGGGUUGUUGCUGGGGACACAGGACAAGCAUCUUUGGCAGACACUAAGCCACAAUUAUCGUUAGCUCCACUUGUAGAAUCUGGAGACGAUGCCAUAAUUCUGCCUAAGGAUCAAGGUAAUACAGGAACUAAAACCGACUGGAUAGUGGACUCUGGUGCAACGGAUCACAUGACUUUUUGUUCAGGAGACUUUGCUAAUACUACAGAACCAAGGCGAACUGGUAUAACCAAUGCCAAUGGGGUUGUCUACCCUGUCACAGGAGCUGGAACAGUGCACAUAUCACCCUCCAUAUCAUUAACCAAUACUUUAUUAGUGCCUUCUCUAUCAAAUAAAUUGUUAUCUGUGAGCCAAGUUACCGAAGACCUAAACUGUGUAGCACUAAUGUAUCCAAAAUUUUGCCUUUUUCAGGAUAUUCUCACGGAGGAGAUCAUUGGGCGUCGUACUAAGAGAGAGGGGUUAUACUACAUGGAUGACUUUAAUUCCGGCAGAGUCAACACCGUGAGUCGAUCUUUACUGACAAAAGAAAACCAGAUUUGGCUAUGGCAUUAUCGGUUGGGACAUCCAUCUUUUAGCUACAUGAAGUAUUUAUUUCCGAAAUUGUUUUUGAAUUUGAAUUAUUCAGACUUUAAAUGUGAAACUUGCAUCCUUGCCAAGAGUCAUCGUGUAUCCUUUCCGAUUAGCUUGAAUAAAAGUGAUACUCCUUUUGCCUUGGUUCACUCUGAUGUUUGGGGACCAUCUCCCAUUACCACUGUCUCUGGCAUACGUUGGUUUGUUACCUUCGUGGAUGAUUGUACUAGGAUGACAUGGCUCUAUUUACUGAAGCGCAAAAAUGAAGUUUUUGAUGUGUUUCGUAUGUUUCACGCUAUGGUUCAUAAUCAAUUUUCAGCAAACAUACGGAUUUUUCGAUCGGAUAAUGGGGGAGAAUAUGUGAAUAAUAACUUUUCAGCAUUUUUUCACAGGAACGGUAUUCUCCAUGAAUUAUCCUGUAGUCAAACUCCACAACAAAAUGGAGUGGCAGAACGGAAAAACCGACAUAUUCUAGAAACUGCACGGGCAUUAUUAUUUGGAGCACAGGUGCCUAGUAGACAUUGGGAUGAUAGUGUUACUACUGCUGUCUAUUUAUUGAAUCGAAUGCCUUCAAAAACCUUGGACUUCAAGACUCCUCUACAGGUUUUGUCACGACAUGUUACUCUACCAUCUAUACUGUUACUUCCACCGCGUGUGUUCGGCUGCGUGACAUUUGUUCAUAUACAUAAACAUCAACGAACAAAACUUGAACCGUGUGCUGUUCGUUGUAUGUUUCUUGGGUAUGGCUCGAAUAAGAAGGGAUUCCGCUGCUAUGAUCCUAAAACCAAACGACUCUAUACUACAAUGGAUGUUACUUUCCUAGAGUCAGAAUAUUUUUACUCAUCCACGACAUCAACUUCUCCUCUCUAGGGGGAGACGUGGGAUGAAGAGAAGAAGUGGUGGAACACUGAAGCUGCUGAGAAUAUGGUAACGGUUUCAACCCCAGCUGAGACUGAAGCUGCUGAGAGUAUAUCCACGGGUCCAACUGAGGCUGCUGAUAUAGCCACGGUUCCAAACAUGGUAGCUGAAGGUGUUGCAGAGACAGAGUGCAUUAAUAACAGUAAGACAGUUGAUGAGGAGGACCAACAAACUGCACCCGACAGAAUGAGUAAAACCCCCUCUCUUGAAGUACCCGACAAUGAAACUCCUUUGCAUGAGGAUAUUCCUGAGGUAAUUUCUCCUACACCAUCCACCAGUAAUAUUUUGAAUUCUUCUGCUAGCUAUCACUUACCUUUCAGGCAGAACAGAGGCAAGCCUCCAGCCCGGUACUCACCAGAUAUGGCAGGAAAGAAAUCAAAGUACCCCGUCUCCAAUUAUGUAUCCACACAAAGACUGCCUAUGCUUCUCAAGGCCUUUGCAUACAAGUUGUCCUCCUGCCAUAUCCCUUAUGGAAUUCAUGAAGCAUUAGCAGAUCCCAAAUGGUCCCAAGCAAUCCAAGAAGAAAUGGCAGCCCUAGAAAAGAACAAAACAUGGGACAUUGUCACAUUACCACAAGGGAAGAAAACCGUUGGGUGUAAGUGGGUAUUCUCCACCAAAUAUAAAGCAGAUGGAUCCAUUGAGCGACACAAGGCAAGAUUGGUAGCGAAGGGGUAGACACAGACUUAUGGGAUAGAUUAUCAGGAGACGUUUUCUCCAGUAGCAAAACUGAACACAGUCAGAGUUUUGUUAUCCUUGACUGCAAAUUUAGAUUGGCCACUACACCAAUUUGAUGUGAAAAAUGCCUUCCUUCAUGGAGACCAUGAGGAGGAAGUGUAUAUGGAUAUCCCACCAGGAUAUACUUCAACCAAACCCGGAACUGUCUGCAGAUUACAACGAGCUUUAUAUGGAUUAAAGCAGUCACCACGCGCAUGGUUUGGUCGAUUUAGCAUGGCUAUGAGAAAGUAUGGUUUUCAACAGAGCAACUCAGAUCAUACCCUCUUCCUGAAGAAGCAACAAGGAAAGGUAAUUGUCCUGAUAAUUUAUGUAGAUGAUAUGAUCAUUACAGGAGAUGAUGAAGAAGAAAUUAAAAGAUUGCAAGAGCAGCUAUUUACCGAAUUUGAAAUGAAGAACUUAGGUGGACUUAAGUACUUCUUAGGGAUUGAAGUGGCUAGAUCAAAGCGGGGAAUUUUUCUCUCACAAAGAAAGUAUGUAUUGGACCUACUGACUGAAGUAGGAAUGCUUGACUGCAAACCGGCAGACACUCCAACCGUUCAGAAUCAAAAACUUGGAUUGUAUCCUGAUCAGGAACCAGCUGAUAAAGACAGGUAUCAACGAUUGGUAGGUAAACUGAUUUACUUAUCUCAUACUCGUCCAGAUAUUUCUUACGCUGCCAGCCUAGUUAGUCAAUUCAUGCAUUGUCCUAGCAAGGAUCACAUGGAUGCAGUUGGUCGAAUACUUCAGUACCUAAAAUCCGCUCCAGGAAGAGGACUUAUGUUCUUGAAGAAUGGUCAUUUGGAUAUUGAAGGUUACACGGAUGCUGACUGGGCAGGAAAUUUGUUUGAUAGAAAAUCUACAUCUGGCUACUUCACUUUCGUCGGUGGUAACUUGGUUACAUGGAGGAGUAAAAAACAGAAAGUGGUAGCUUUGUCGAGUGCCGAGGCUGAGUUCAGAGGAAUGGCUAAAGGCCUUUGCGAACUUCUUUGGAUUAGAAGACUACUCUCUGAAAUUGGUUUCACUCCUAAGUCAGGAAUGAACCUGUACUGCGAUAAUAAAGCUGCAAUUGCAAUUUCUCAAAAUCCAAUUCAGCAUGACCGGACGAAACAUAUCGAGAUAGACCGACAUUUCAUUAAACAGAAUCUUGAAGAAGGAGUGAUUUGCUUUCCUUUUGUUAGAUCAGAAGACCAACUUGCUGAUAUGCUCACAAAGGCUGUCUCCAACAAAAACUUUCGUGACUCACUUAACAAGUUGGGCAUAGAAGAUAUCUUUGCACCAACUUGAGGGGGAGUGUUAGCGUGAGCUGUACAGUUUAGGAAUUAAUGUUGGUGUGAGCUGUAGAAUCCAAUAUAGGAAUUAUAUUUUUAAUAUUCUGUAAUUGUAUAUAUCCCAAUAUAUAUGGGAUUAAUGUUACUUACCUAGAUAGUUAUCUUGGGAAGGGUUUCUCUAUAUAAGAGAACCACUCUGUAACGUUUGAAGAAUAAGAAAAAGAAGGGAAUACACAGGGCGGCUGCUCUCUGAUUUAUCACAAGAUUUAAUGCAAUUUGAACGUUUGGUAACUAAUAGAAGAGGUGGGCAUGAACUUUCACUCGUGAGUUUGGAAACAUUACAGUUGAACUUAUUGCCUGACUUGAGGUGUAUAUGGAAGGGCCUAGUGCCGAGCAAUUUGACUACUUUGAAGGUGAAAAGGUGUAACAGACUGACACAUGUAUUCACAGACAGCAUGAUUGCUAGUCUAGUUCAACUGAAAUUUCUAGAGAUAUCAAAUUGUGAGGAAUUGGAGCAAAUCAUUGCUAAGGAUAAUGAUGAUGAAAAGAAUCAGAUAUUUUCAGGAAGUGACCUCCAAUCUCCAUGCUUCCCUAAUUUGUGUCGACUUGAGAUCACAGGAUGCAACAAGUUGAAGAGUCUCUUCCCGGUAGCCAUGGCUUCAGGUCUCAAAAAGCUCCAGAUACUUAAAGUAAGAGAAUCCUCUCAAUUAUUGGGAGUAUUUGGGCAGGGUGAUCAUGCUUCACCUGUCAAUGUUGAGAAGGAGGUGGUGCUCCCUCAUCUGUUGCAGCUGAUUCUAGAAGAAUUACCAAGCAUUGUCUACUUCAGUCAUGGAUGUUAUGAUUUCAUAUUCCCUCGUUUGUGGAACUUGGAGGUGCGUCAAUGUCCAAAGCUGACCACAAGAUUUGCUACUACAUCAAAUGGUUCAAUGAGUGCUCAAUCAGAGGUGUUGCAUAUUUGACAUGAUUUCUUGCCUCUCUUUAAGUGUUUUUAUUUCUUGUUUCCCUCAAUAAUAAGACUUACAAGUUAGAAUAUGUAUGCCAUGCUUGAAUUGGCUUUGCAGGUAUCUCAAGUAGCUGAGGGUUCCAGCACUGGUUGCUCCGUGCCAACCAGCAGUUGUAGAACGUGGACCUCAUAUAAUGGGUGGGAAGAGGAAAAAGAGGAAGAGGAUGGAGUCAGAUGAUUAGUUUGGCAUUGGAAUUUGAAAAGCAUGCUAGUAAUUCAUUCUUGCAGGUAAAAUGGCUGCAACUAUUUAUCUUGUAUCCUUGUUUAAAUGGUUGGAUUAAAUCAACAAAUACGAGAUGCCUGGAUGAUCUUUGUUCUUGAUGUUUGCAUUAGGUUGGGUUGGUUGGUUACCUAUGUGAUGAUCAACUCGACAUUGGUGGGAAGUAAUUCCAGCUGUUUCAUUAGCUACAACAAUUUGUCUUAUUUCAUGUGUUUGUUGUGUGAACUUCCAGAAAUAUUGUGUGUUUAAUAAUUUAUUGUGCGAACCUUCAAAAAAGGGCUUUUGUUUGUUUGCCCAUUUGUGUUUCUUUUUCAAGUGUCUGAACCUUUGGAAGUUUCCACAGUUCCUGACAGCUUAGGUUAAGGCUACAAUAGGGAGUAGUGUUGUAAUCUUUCAACACCUACUAUGAGACAGAUUGUACUUUAUAACAAAACUCUGUGAAGACAUGGAAGGGGGUCCUGUCAAUUAAUGAAUAAAACUUUGUCAAAAUGAUUGCCAACUUUGCUUUCACGGCAGAUACAAUUAAUUAAUACUUUGAUGGGUAAUGUCAUGUGUUUUUAUACAAUAUUUAUUUUAAUUAAAAAUAUAUUAAAAUAAUAUUUUUUAAAUAUUGAUAUAUUAAAAUUAUUAAAAAAACAUAUAAAAACAUUGAUUUAAUGUUUUUUUUUAAAUUAAAUCAAUUUUAAAAACAUUUUAAGAAAAUAAAUUGAAUAGUAAAAACAAUUGAGAUUGUGGUAAUUAUUGUUUUUCAAGUGUUUUUUAUUAAAAAAUAAAUCAAGAUAAUAUAUUAAUUUAAUUUUUUUAAAAAUUCAUCUACUUUGCCUUCACCAAAAUACAAUUCUUUUGUAUUCUUGUGUCAUUAAACAUUUCAUAGUGAUAGUGCAAUGGAAUCUCGAGAUUUUAAUUUUUUUUUCAUCUUAUUUCUAAAUUUGGAACAAUUACUCAACAUUCUUGCUCUUAUUUUUGAACAAAAUAGACGUGCUAUUUUUAAUAGUUGAUACUAUAUGUCAUAUCAAAUUGAUUAUAUAUAUAUAUAUAUAAUCAAUUUACAAAUUUAUUGACAGAAUAUGAAAUUCCAAUAUAUAAGUAAAAGGAUAAAUCCUCUAGCUUUGAAAAGAAUUAGUGUUUGCCUUUGAGAUUGUAAUAUUUUUUUUCAGCGUAUAUUCAAUUUAAUAUUUUUAAUAAUACAAAUGAAAAUAAACAGCAAAUUUAAUUUAUAAAUGUAACUAUCUCAAAACAAUGUUGAGAAGGAAGAAAGAUUAGUAGAAUAAAAAUAAAAUUAAUAGACUUUUAAAAAGCAAAGAGUUUUUAAUGUUAAAAAUAAUUUUUUUAUUUAAUAGACCCAAUUUUGUAUUUUUUUUUUAAAAGAUAACUCUAUUUUAAUUCUGAUUCUUUAGCAACACAGUUUUUCAUUCACCAUAACACACAUUUUUUUUUUUAAAUAGUUAACAUGUCAUAUUAAUGAGGAGAGGUAUUUGAAUUGGGUGAGGCUGAUGAAGGAACUAACGAGGAGAAGGAGCUGCCGCUGCUGUCAUCUUUAACAGAGUUACGGCUGUACUGGUUACCUGAGCUCAAAUAUAUAUGGAAGGGGCCCACUAGAUAUGCUGAAAUUGUGGUAUCUUACCAAACUGACAUUUAUCUUCACACCGUCCUUGGCUUAGAGUCUUAUUAUUCAUCUGGAAACACUACAGAUAGAACAUUGCGGUGGAUUGAAGCGUCUUAUCAGAGUCUCUUGGAUUUCCAGGAUUAAAAAAUCUCUAUACAAGAGGCUGUGUUAAACUGGAACAUGUCUUCCCUGUCUCCGUGUCUCCAAGUCUUCUGAACAGAUAACGAUUAAAUUUGCUGACAAUUUAAAGCAAAUAUUUUACAGUGGAGAAGGAGAUGCACUCACCAGAGAUGGCAUCAUCAACUUCCCUCGGCUAAGACAAUUGAUUCUUUCAAAGUGCAGCUUUUUUGGCCCAAAGAAUUUUGCUGCCCAAUUGCCUUCUUUGCAAGUGUUAGCCAUUGAAGGCCACGAACAAUUGGGUAAUUUGCGGGCACAGCUACAAGUACGUCUUUUAUAUUUCUCCCCUGAUUUUUUACUUUUAAAUUUAAAUUGUCAAAUUCAAUACAUUGUGAUAAUUUCUUAUUUCUUCCUUCAGAUUUCUAAAACUAAAGUAAUGGAUAAAUGGUAGCAAAUCCUUUAGCCAUCCACUGAAUUUAAAAGGAGUGAAAUUGAGGCCUUUCCGCCAAUUAAUAAAAAAUGGUUUUUUUUAUCCAAUUUUCUAAACAAUUAGAGUCAAAAAGUAAAAAUUGAAACUUUCUUUUUAAAUACAAUAUUUUCACAUUAAAAGACCUUCAAAAGCAACAAAUUUGUAAUUAAACAAAUAUAUUUUUGUCUCUUAUGUAUUUGUUUAUUCUAACUUUAAAUACUAAUUAAACACAGUCUAAUUUUUUUUAAUUUGAUUUAUGAUUUUAAAAAAAAAAACAUUUGAUUAUCACAACAUAGAAUAAAAGUUUAAAAAAGAAACAUUCACGGGCCUACACAAUACAUGAGCUGAUUAAAUGGCGACAAUCCCAUUAGCAAAUUUGUGCUACAAAUGACAAAAUAAAAAUAAACUCAGCAAACAAGAUCAGUCCUAAUUAAUUUUGUCAACUAUUGGCAUAUUCCAAACUAUCAAGCAUUGAACCUUUCCAAAUUAAUUGUUUUUUUUUUUUUCAAUUUGUUUUGGUCUAAUUGCAUUGAUUGGUUGGUUGAUUGAAUGAAUGGUGCAGUCCCCAUUUUCAUUUACUUUUGGCAUUACACAAAAACAUCCCUUUCAAGUUACAAAACGACGUGCAGCUCAGUCAAUGCCUUCAUUGCCUAGCGCCUUCAAAAAAUCAACUGCUUAGUUAGAUUCGUCCUUGGCUUGCUUAGAGCGACAGCCACAUUAAAUGACAGCCACCGAAAUGUUUGACAUGUGGCCUACAAUGUGAAUUAUGUGUUAACAAUUAGCUAAUUUUUUAAUUCUCUUAAUUUAAUUAAUUUAAUUAGUUACGGGGGUGGCUGAUAGGUAGUAUCUAAUAAGUAAAAAAUGCUUAAAUAUUUAUGUAGUGAGAGAAAGUAUAAUGAUACAGAGAUAAAUUUUAAAAAUACAUAUUUUAAAAAUGUUAAAAAUAAAAAAAUUAUAUAUUUAUAACUUAUAAGUCUUGUUUUUUUUUUUAAAGAAGAGAGAUUAAAAAGUAAUUUUAUUUUGUGAUAUUUUAAGUUAUAUUUUAUUUAAAAUAAUAUGGGUUUGAUUAAUAUAAAAUAUUAAAAGAUUUGUACAUGAUAUUAAAAAAAAUUUAAACAAAAUAUUGGGCCUAAGCCUAGUAGAAGUAAAAAAUAAACUUACGAACAAGGUAUAUGGAUCCAGGCAGUGCUUGUAAAAACCUAGAGCAGUUAGGCUUUUGGGAGUUUUUUUAAGCCAAUUAAAUUUUGGUCUAAAGCAAAUAGAAGUGAUAAUCUCUUAUUUUCUUCCUGAAAUUCUUGACGUUUAGGCUGGGAAUAAAUUUAGCCUAGAAAAUUGAGGGAAAGUAGCUGAAAUAAUUUAAAACCAUUUAAGAUUUUUGUCAGUUUAGCUAGUUUAGUCGUUCCCUUUUGACUUAUUAAAGCCAGUUAUUGUGCUCAAUUAAAGCUCGAUCUUCAAAAGCUCGAUCUUCGAAUCUUCUUCUAAAAUCUUUAAUUUUGCUCUGAUAUUUAUGAAAAUGUAAUUCAUUAUUAAACCCUAAAAACUUCUAUAACUCCAUUCUCAAUCCCAAAAUUUUGACUUGAUUUUGUCAUAAGUUUUGAUUUAAAUCAAAAGUUAAUUCUAGUCAAAACUCUUACCAAAUAUAAUUUAAAUUUUGACUUAAAUCAAGAUUUGUUAUAAAAUUGAGUCAAAGCUUUACUUUAAUAAAAAAAUAAAAUUUUAAAAUUUUAACUUAUGAUAUAUUUUUUUCUUGAGUAAAAAGUAAAAAAAAAACAACUUAAAUUAAUUUACAAAACUGAACCAUAUACAAUCAAAAUUUGGACUUAUAUCGAAAGUUUGUUAUUUCACAGUUAAUAAUCGAAAGUUACUUUAAAUUAUGACUUGAAGUCAGAAGUUACUUUUCAUAAAUGAUGCCUAGAGAAAAGGGGGGAAAUAAUGCAAUCUGGGUCAUUGUGGAUCGACUAACUAAGUCUGCCCUUUUCCUACCAGUAAAGAUGAUAGAUCCAGUUGAUAAGUUGGCUAAGAUUUAUGUGAACAAAGUUGUAAGGUUUCAUGGAGUCCCAACAUCAAUUGUUUCAAACCGAGACCCAAGAUUUACUUCACGUCUCUGGCCGAGCAUACAACAUGCCUUGGGAACAAAUUUGAGUAUCAGUACUGCCUUUCAUCCGUAGACUGAUGGCCAAUCUGAGAGAGUUAUUCAGAUCUUAGAAGAUUUACUAAGGGCAUGUGCUUUGGAAUUUGGUGGAAACUAGGAGGAGCACCUGUCACUAGUAGAAUUCACGUAUAACAACAGUUAUUAGACAACAAUUGAAAUGGCCCCAUUUGAAGCUCUUUAUGGCAGAAAGUGUAGGACACCCUUGUGUUGGGAAGAAGUUGGGGACAAAAAGCUGUAUAGGGCAGAAUUAGUACAAAUCACUACUAAAAAAGUGAGGAUUAUUAAGGAUCGAAUAAAGGCGGCUCAGGAUAGACAGAAGAAGUAUGCAGAUAUUCGAAGAAGACCACUUGAAUUUUGUCCUGGAGAUAAAGUAUUUCUGAAGGUAGGUCCAUGGAAGCACAUGCUGAGAUUCGGCAUGAAGGGAAAGUUAGCCCCGAGGUUCAUUGGACCAUUUGAAAUCCGAAAAUGUAUCGGACCUGUAGCAUAUGAAAUAAACUUGCCCUCACAGUUGGCCAAGGUUCACAAUGUAUUCCAUGUUUCUUUGCUGCGAAAAGCCGAUGUAGACCCUUCGAGAGUGUUACCUCAAGUGCCAGUGGAGGUAAAAGAAGACUUAACACUUGAGGUAAGACCGAUAAAGAUACUCGAUUGGGGCGAGAAAGAACUUCGUAAUAAGAAAGUUCCCAUCAUCAUAGUCUUAUGGCGAAGCUCACAAAUCGAGGAAGAAACAUGGGAGAGAGAAUCAGAAAUGAGACUAAAAUUCCCCGACUUGUUUAUAAAUUCAAGUACAUCACUCAAAUUUCGAGGACAAAAUUUCUAUUAGGAGGGGAGAAUGUAAACCCCAAGAAAAAUAAAUAAAUAAAAGUGAAGAAAUUCAUGUAUAUGGUUAAAUAAAAAACAGGAAUUCAAAAAAAUUUUAAUAUGAAUUUCCGGGUGAAAUAAUUCGAGAUAUUAUAAUGAACCCGGUACUGCUAAGGGUUGGAUUUAAUUGAAGAGAAAAAAAAAUACACUUAAAGGAAAAAGGGGGCCUAAAUGCAAAUAAGGGAAAAUAUAGAGUAUAAAUACUCUCUCCUCACCAAAACAAAAUCUGUAUAAACCAUAAGGAGAGAAGAUAAGGAGUUUUAUACCCAUUCUUGAGAAAUCAAGAGAGAAACACUAACAUUUCAAGAACCCAUCCAAGAUUUAGAGCUUAUAGAUGGAAUAAACACUUGAGAGCGAAUGAUUACCAAGAAAUUGAACAAGAAGAAAAGAAAGGAGGGAGUUGAAAAUCUUCAACUGGUUGAAGAUCAAGAUCUUAAUUUGUAGCAGGUAAGGUAUUCUAAACAUGAGCUUAAAAAAAAUUCAUUUUUAAAUUCGAUAAAGAAUUGAUGCCUUGAUAUUGAAUCAUAGGUUAGGGUUCUUAGACAUAAAUUGGGGAAAAAGUACUUAUUGUUGAGAUUAAGUUAAUUUAUGUGUGUGGUAUGUAGUUUAUGAAAGUAUUGUGUGAAGGGGAGGGGGAGACAACUCUGGACAGACUUGUCUCCUGACUUUCGGUGAGAUUUUUGGAUAGGAGGAUGAGGGAAUUAGGAUUGGAUUCCUCAUAGAAAUUAUAGAUUUGAAUGUUAGCUAACUAAGGAAACUAGUCUUGCUCAAUUUGAAGAUGUAGAACUCCAGUUAUGGGUUACCAACCGAAACUGAGUCGUGACUGAUUAUGUAGGGCAGUAGGACUGAUUAGUUGAUGAGCAAUUUUGACUAUCUUGGAGGCAGAACUAGGUUAUCCUUCAUUAGAGAACUGAUAGCCUUGUGUCUUAGCUUUCUAACGAGAUCAAUCUCACUUAAAAUGGAGUUUUAGAACUUUAGAUAUAGUUAAAAAUCUGAUGAGUGUUCAGAUAGUAACAGUUCAAAGUCAGACAAUAACGGUUCAAAGUCAGACAGUAACAGUUGGAAUUGGACAGUAACAGUUGGAAUUGGACAGUAACAGUUCAAAGUCAGACAGUAAUGGUUCAAAGUCAGACAGUAACAGUUGGAAAAUUGGACAGUAACAGUAGACUUUCACGUGAAUACUAUAAAUAAGAAUAUUAAAGAAUUGAGUCAUAUGAACGCUUACACAUUGAGAUACUAACUCUGAUAAUAUAUAUGAUAUAUGUAUGUAUGUUAUUAUGAGGAAAUGAACAUGCAUAGAAAGUAACAUAUGAGUAAUGGAUGAAUAUGAAUUCUCUAUAAUAUCGGCUUGAAGGAAUCAUAACCAAAAAACUUCCUUGUGAUUCAGGAGGAGCAACCAAGAUUGGAUCUUCUGUUAGGGGAGGUCGUGAGACAGGCGAAGCAGGUGCGUGAUUUUCCUCCUAUUUGCACUUAUAUAAUUUAAAAUUCGUCUGGUGAAUGCAAUUACAAUAAGUGUCGUGUUCAAUGUAAAUAAAAUCUAGCGUAAAUACAAGAUUAGCUUCGGCUAAUGGCAUCCAUGAUAGGAUUGCCGGGAUAUGAAUUACAAGAUUAGCUUCGGCUAAUGGCAUCCACGAAAGGAUUGUCGGGAGAUGAUUUACACAAUUAGCUUAGGCUAAUGGCAUCCAUGAUAGGAACGCCGGGAAAUGGAUUAUAGGAUUAGACCUUGCAAGGUCACCCAGUUCAUGCAAGUAAAUAAGAUUAUUCAAUUAAGAAUAUACAAAUGAGUGUUAAUUGGGUUGUAAAGAUUUACAAGCAAAAUAUAAGUUCUCUGUUAGAAUUCUUAUGGUUCGAUAAAAAGUUAAUACUUCAUUCGUAUUUAUUACAUGAUCAUACAUAUAUUCUUUAUCAACAUAAUGAUAUAUUUAUUUAUGUAACAGGUCCAUCAAACAUCUAGGAAGAUCAUUAGUUUAGGACUCUACUUUGUGAAACUUAUGUAAAUAUUUAACUUAAACAAAAGGAAAUUAACGUGUUUAUGUAGUAUAUUUUUGUGUAAACCUUGAUGUAUUUAUAAAAUUUCAGCUUAGCAUUUAGUAUUUUAGUUAUCUUGUAAUUAACCCUUUUGAAAUAGUUAGGAACACUUAUUAUGUUGUAAAUACUUUCUUUGCAUGUUAGUAUUCCUUUUCUCUUAAAUUUUAUGAUAUGAUGUUUGGACUAUGUUCAUAUUGAUCUUACUCGUAGGAUAUAUAUAUAUAUAUAUAUUGUGUGGAAUUAUGAGGUUUGAUAUAAGGUCCGGAAUUAUGGGACCUUGUGAUGAUGGGUUGAUUGAGUAAAUUGACAGUAGUCGAUAACUUGGGAUGUCCUAAAUGCAAAAGAAACUCUGCCGAAUUUUUGAGAAAAAAAAAUCCACACUCAAAUAAAAAGGAUAUGUUGUGAUCUUUUAACAUUGAUUGAGUCGUACAGUCGGACUGUUACAUAUAUAAUCUAUGUUCUCAUGAAAAAAGUUAUGUUUUUUCAAUGUGGGAUUUGAAACCCAUUAGUAUAUAUACUCUACGUUCCUAAGAAAAAAAUCAUGUUUUUUCAAUGUGGGAUAAAAAUCUUUUUGGUUUAAAUACUUCAACUUAAAAGGAUAACAUAUUAUCUUUUCAAUGUGGUAUUUGAAGCCCUUUCAUAUAUAUACUCUAUAUUCCCAUGAAAAAAGUUAUGUUCUUUCAAUGUGGGAUUUGAAACUCAUUAGUAUAUAUACUCUAUGUUUCCAAGAAAAAAAUCAUGUUUUUUCAAUAUGGGAUAAAAAAACCUUUUGGUUUAAAUACUUCAACUUAAAGGAUAAUUAUUUUUUUAAAUAUUAUUUUAAACUUCAUUGUUUACAAUAUGUAUAACCUAUAUUUACAUGGAUUUUUUUCAUAUGAAAUAUUAAAAUUUUAAUUUUUUUUAAAAUUUUUCCGGGUUGAUCCAAGUUGACCCGGGUUGACCCAUAAAACUCGGGACCCGGUCCCUUGGCCGGGUCAACUCUCAGGCCGGGUUUAAUAACUAUGGUUCAAAUACUAUGAGAUAUUUAGUUGUUGCAAAUUCGUAAACUAAGGUUCUAUUUGGUAUGACAUUUACAAAUUAAUUUAAGUUGUUUUUUAAUUAAAAAAAUUCAUAAGUAUAUAUUUGCAAGAAAUAAGAAUAUGUUUGGCAUAUUUUUUCAAUUAUGAGUUUUGACUUUCAAAUAUAUUUCAAAAGUUAUUUUUUCAUAGAUAAUUACUGUUGUUACCCAUUUUUGGGUUCACAUAAAAAUGAGAAAAUACAAAAACAAUAUAUCAAAAGAAAUCCAAAAAAUAAUAGGAGCGAGAAAAGGAUUGCUGGAAUGCUGAAAAAAUGCCAAAAUUGGUUGAGAUUCAAAAAUGCAAAAGGUUGAAAUUUGACAGUGAGAGCCCUGUUGAUGAGGAAAAUUCAAUUUGAGGAAGAAAAGUCCAAAAUCAGAUGUUUAUGGACUCAAUUAAAUUUUAUCCAAGGUUUAAUUGAAUUUAUAGAGCGUUUGAUUGCAAGAAAAUUGAUUUUUGUAAGUCAAUUUAGGCUUUUAUCGGAAGAAAUUAAAGUUCUGGGGUCCAAUUGUAAUUUUAAAGAGUUAAUUUGGUCAAAUCAGGGGCUUAAUUGCAUAAUAAGGGUUUAAAAUAUAAAAAAGACUGCAAGUCUACAAGAGCUGACAAUAAGAGCAAGGCUGCUACAAAGGAUUUACAAUGGAAUUAGAAAUAAAAUUUAAGUCCACAUUGGCAUUGGCUUAAUCUACAAAAAUAUAGAAAAUCUACACUUGUUGACCUGCUUGCCCAUCCUUUUUUUCUACUUCUUCCUGACCUCCUAUUUGACUCUCAUUCUCACUCAUACAGUACUUCUUGAAGAAAUAACCAAAACACCUCAUCACAAAAGGCACUGAAGCUGCAAUCAAAAGAUAGCGAAAACGCACAGAUUCAUUAGGAGUAACAGCAAAAACCGCAGAUGCAUAGGUUAUCAUAAUUGAAGCUGUAGCAGCCCAUAUUUCAAGAUGGAAAGGGAACCUGUAAGUGAGAGAUGUAAUGACAAGUAUACAAGUGGAGAGAGCCAAAGUGUUUGAUAUCAAGAAAACAUAGAAAGCACGCUUUUGAGAUGCAUAAAUUGCUCUUCCUACACGAUCUCCUUCUUGCCAGACCCCUCCAGGAGGGUUCACCCCGGCCUGGAAAGUCACUGCUGCAAUCAAGGCCACAACUACUAGCAAAACAUUUCUAGCAUCGCUUGGUGAGUCUCUCACUUCAUCAUACUGAAAUUUCUUGAACCCGCUAGCACUUCUUUUAGUAUUGUUUUUUUUAGGCUGAGACAUUUUUACUUGGGCAAAGAUAUGUGGGAGAUACCAGCACUCUGGCUCUCAAGAAGUUACUUAUAUAGAGCCUCCGUUCUAAAGGAUGGGGCCCGCCCUAAUUAUCACAUGUUUCUUGUUGUAACCCAUUUUUAACUCCCAUAUAAAAAAGAAAAAAAUACAAAGAAAAAAAAGUCAGAAGAAAAAUAAAAAAAUAGUAGUAGUGAAAAGAAGAUGUCGGAGCGCCCAAAAAAUAGCUAAAAAAAAUGGUUAAGAAGGUUCAAAAAUACAAAGAUUAAAAUUUGACAGUAGUUUAUUGACUGAUGAGAGCCCUGUUGACUGAUGAGAGCCCUGUUGACAAAGAAAAUUCAAUUUAAGGAAAAAGUCUAAAAUCAGAUAUUUAUGGACUCAAUUAUAUUUUAUUGAAGGUUUAAUUGAAUUUAUAAAGGGUUUGAUUGCAAGAAAAAUUGAUUUUGAAGUCAAUUUGGGCUUUAAUUGAAAGAAAUUAAAAUUCUGGGGUCAAAUUAUAAUUUUUGAGAGUUAAUUUGAUCAAAUCAGGGGCUUGAUUGCAUAAAUAUUGAAGUUUGAAGGCCAAUUAGAGAUUUAAUUGAAGAAAUCCAAAACCAAGAACCAAACUAGAAAUCUCAGUGUUGAUUUUUAAGUUUAUAUAAAAUAUUUCAUUCUCAUCUAAAAAUAUUAAAAAGUAAGAAAGAAAAUCCAAAUUAAUAAAUAUAAAAACCUAAAAUAUGACAAAAUUUGAGAUAAUUAAUUUUUCUAAAAAUCCUAAAAUUCUGUCCACUUAAAUUCCCAUACAUUAACAAUAUCGUAUAUUCAAAGAAGUGAUCAGUGGUGUUAAGAAAAAGAAAUACUUAUCAUGUUUCUUUUAAGGUAAAAAAUACUUAAUGAGCUUUCAUCAUCAAAUAAAGACAUUUGAUAUAAAUAUCAUCCAUUUUGAUGGUCUCAAUCGAUAUCAAUAACACUUUUCUCUCUCUACCGCUUGAAUUUAUUGACCUCUAUCUCCCUUCUCUUAAUUAGGGAUUAAAAAAUAACAAAAAUAAACUUUUGAAUCAAAAUUUAAUUCGAAAAAUGUUGAGGUACUAAAAUUAUAUGAUUUAUGUGAUUUUCAAAUUUUAAGAACCAAAAUACAUCAUUUGCGAAACUUAUGGCAUGAGAUCCAUGUUUGGUGUCUUUUUCAUUUCGGUCCCUCUUCAUUCAAUCCUAUCUUUUCAUAAUAAAUCAAAAUUAAUUGGUCUUUAAUUAGAACUAAAUUAUCAAAAACAAAUUGAGGAACAAAUUAAAAAAAAAACUAUAGUUUUAAGAGCGUGCGAGAAAUAUCACUAGUUUUAACUAUUCCUAAUUUGUGACAAUAUUAUAGGUAAAACUAUACACAAAGUGAAGAGUGGGAGAUUCUCAAUUUUUUGAAAUGCUAAUAUUGUACUAUUUAUCUUGGAAAUCCCUUGAAUUUAUUCACACCAAAUUUAAAAUUCAGAGAAAUUAAAUCUAUGGUUUGUUUAUAAAUAAAUUUUAUUGUUAAUAUUUUUAUUAUUCCAUAGUUACUUUAUGUAAACCUUACAUUUAUUAGAGAAAUCAAAGUAAACAAAUUUAAUGGACAAAUACUAGUUUAUCAAGUACUUAACUUGAAUAAAAGAAGAUACAAAAAUAUAAAUAUUUUUUAUAUAUCUUUAUUGUUUAGAAAUUAAAAAUAAAAUAAAAUAAAUCCAAACUCAUCUAAAAAAAAAGUUAAUUUUGAUGUCAUCAUUCUAAUAAUAGAACUAAUGAAGAUAUUUUAUUAAUAAGAUUUUGUGAAAAUAAGUAUUCAAAUUGAAAAAAAAAAAUUGUUCAUGUUUUUUGCACUGAUGUCUCCAUCCAUUUACAGCCGGAAUGAAGAACGUCACCUAUUUUUAUGGUCUCUUCUUACUUGGAAGAUAAGAUAUAUGAAUAUUCAGAGUUAUUUGAGUCCACUCAUUUUAGUAGAUUUUUAUUUUUUUAUAUUAGUAUUCCAACUUUUCUUUAUUAUAUCAAUUAAAGAGACCAGUUCAAAAGAACAAUAGUGAAUAAGUUUUUUAAAAUAAAGAACAAUAGUGAAUAAUUUUUUUGUAUUUUUUAUGUGUUAUGUCAAAAUAUUUUUUUUAAAUAAAAAAUAUUAUUUUAAUAUAUUUUAAAAUAAAAAUAUUUUUAAAAAUAAUCAUUAUCGAACUUUAAAUAUCAUUAAGAUGAGGCAACCCUCCUUUUGACUCGGCUAGCCUACUGUUCUGUGGGUAUAUUUUAUUGCUGCAUUAUUUUCACUAUAAUUUUCAUUAUAGUGAAAAUUCAGAAUUAUUUUAAUGGAUUCAAAUUCAACAUGGUGAUUUUUUACAGUGGAUUCAAAUUCAACAACAAGGGCUAUUUCCUGCAGCAAGGAGAGUUUCUGAAUUUUCAUUACUCAUACAUCGCGAAAAAUAGUAAAGUUUCUGAGAAUUUUCAAAUCAAACUUGAGUUCAGCUUGUCGUUGCUAACUAUUUUAUUUUCACUAUAAUUAAUUGCUUUAUCACGUUGACGCCAGCAGUCAACAACUAUCUUAUAUUCUCUUGAGUCUUGGCAUCGAAUUCCAUGCCUUUGCAAAAUAUCAAAGGCUCCAGUGCCUCUCUAGCAAUAAUUAAUUUUAUUUUCCCCCAAAUAUUUAUCGAAAUAAUUAAUUUAACCACAAAAAAAAACAAAUAGAUCCAACUACCAUACCAUUCCACAAUUAAAUGUUUUUUGAAUAAAUAACUUUUUUUUUUAGUUUAACGUUGGUGUUCGGGCUAGCUUGCGCGCACCUCGACUAAUCCCACGGGCCCUGAAGUUAACGACCAUGUAAGCCUCCAGUGGCCAUCAUAUGAGCAAUCACAGGGCUCGAACCUAAGACCACAGAGAAAGCAAACCUCUUAAUUCCAAACUCUUACCACUGAACCACCAUCUAGAUAGUUUGAAUAAAUAACUUUUAAAUCAUAAAAAAAGUGAAGAAAGUGAAGAAUAAUCAAAGUGGUGGAUACGAAUGUAAUCAACCACAUUUAGCGAAAUAAUUAAUUUAAUCACAUCCUUUCUAGCUAAUCUAGAUUUUAGUAACUGGUUGGUGCUGCGUUCCAAAUAAAAAUAGAAUAAAAUUUGAUUUUUUUAUUUAAAAUUAUUUUUUUAUUUUUUAAUGUGAUAAUAUUAAAAAUAAUUUUAUAUUAAAAUUAAUUUUAAUAAAAUUUAUUGAAUCCACAAUUAAAGAAGUAAGAUGGAUAGGAAUGUGCAGUUUGAGAUGGAUCCGUGAGACCAUUGCUAUCAAGAGUUUUUUCUACGGGAUAAGAUGAGUCCGUGAGACCCGUAAGCUUUAGAAGAGAUAAUAUGUUUUAAUUUCAAAAAAUAAAUCUCAAUUCAGUGUGUUAGAAUGCAACCACCGACUAAUUAAUGGACAAUGGACCUUAGAUUAAUAUACUAUCAUUUUUUAUUGUAUUUUUUUUUCUAGUCAUAUUUAAUUUUUCAUCAAGUGAUUAAUAUGUAUAAUUCAAUGGAUAUAAUUCUUAACGUUAAAUGCUAUGUAUUUAGAAUUUUGUUGGAUUGAGAAAUGGAAGAUAGAAAGAGAGACAGAGCAGCUCAAAAGAAAAAGAAAAAGAAAAAGAUGGAACAAAAGUGGAACAGUUUUUAUUAACUAAAUAAACUUAUUUUAGGAAGCUAUAAUUAUUAAUAUUAAAUUUAAAAUUCAUAUUGCAAAUCCUGAAACAUAUCAUGUGGUUUAAUAGAAAUUAUUUUUAUAAACAUAUGUGGCUUAACAUCAUUAAUCAAAAGCUUAUAAUUUCUUUCAUUUUAUAUAUAUUAAAAGUAAAUAUUAAAACCUAUUAUAUUAUUAAUUCAGAUGUGAAUUAUAAUUCUAAAAUGUUUUUUAAAAAUUCUCUAUAUACUACAACUAGCUGAAGAAAGUCGUCUUCAUCGGACCAUCCAGUACCCAAAAAAUAAAAAAAAGAAUUGCAUGAAAGUAAUUAACCGGAACUUAUAAUCCUUCUUCAAACGUUGACCCGGAGUCAAAGUCUUAUUUUAAGGGAAAAAAAACAUGAAUAAAAUGUUAAUGUUAUGAGCUCACUUUCCAUGAUGAUGAUGAAUAUAAAGACUUGCAACUGUUUUUUUUUUUUUUUGUUUAUUAUUAUUCAAAUUGCGUGUGGAAAAUUAUGCCUUUUGAAUUUGAUGGAAAUUACAUGUGAAAAAUCACGCCUUUCGAGAUAAUUUAAAUUACGGUAGUUAUUAUUUUUGUUGUUAUAAUUAUAUAAAAAGAAAAGGAUAGCUUAAUUAUUCUUUUUUUAAUCAAAAACAGUUCACUUCAAGCAAUAUUUAUUAGCAUUCUAAUCAUUUAUUAUUGUUGCCAUACCCCUUUAAAUAUUCUAUUUGCUCAUUGUUACUGAAAUGCUCACGUAGGAGUUAACUUUGUUAAUGUGCCAAUGUUAUUAUUAUUUCAAUUUUGAAAAAGAAUAAUGACUUUGUAAUAAGCUUUGAUUUAAAUCAAAAGUUAAUUCUAGUCAAAACUCGUACCAAUUAUAAUUUAAAUUUUGACUUAAAUCAAGAUUUGUUAUAAAAUUGAGUAAAAACUUUACUUUAAUAAAAAAUAAAAUUUUAACUUAUGAUAUAAUUUUUUCUUGAGUAAAAAGUAAAAAAAAAACAACUUAAAUUAAUUUGCAAAACUAAACCAAAUACAAUCAAAAUUUGGACUUAAAUCAAAAGUUUGUUAUUACACAGUUAAUAAUCGAAAGUUAUUUUAAAUCCUCUAGCUUUGAAAAGAAUUAGUGUUUGCCUUUGAGAUUGUAAUUUUUUUUCAGCGUAUAUUCAAUUUAAUAUUUUUAAUAAUACAAAUGAAAAUAAACAGCAAAUUUAAUUUAUAAAUGUAACUAUCUCAAAACAAUGUUGAGAAGGAAGAAAGAUUAGUAGAAUAAAAAUAAAAUUAAUAGACUUUUAAAAAUCAAAGAGUUUUUAAUGUUAAAAAUAUUUUUUUUAUUUAAUAUAUAGACCCAAUUUUGUAUUUCUUUUUAAAAAAGAUAACUCUAUUUUAAUUCUGAUUCUUUAGCAACACAGUUUUUCAUUCACUAUAACACACACAAAUUGUAAUAUUAAUGAGGAGAGGUAUUUGAAUUGGGUGAGGCUGACGAAGGAACUAACGAGGAGAAGGAGCUGCCGCUGCUGUCAUCUUUAACAGAGUUACGGCUGUACUGGUUACCUGAGCUCAAAUAUAUAUGGAAGGGGCCCACUAGAUAUGCUGAACUUGUGGUAUCUUGACAAACUAACAUUUACAAAACGACGUGCAGCUCAGUCAAUGCCUUCAUUGCCUAGCGCCUUCAAAAAAUCAACUGCUUAGUUAGAUUCGUCCUUGGCUUGCUUAGAGCGACAGCCACAUUAAAUGACAGCCACCGAAAUGUUUGACAUGUGGCCUACAAUGUGAAUUAUGUGUUAACAAUUAGCUAAUUUUUUAAUUCUCUUAAAUUUGAUUAAUUUAAUUAGUUACGGUGGCUGUUAGGUAGUAUUUAAUAAGUUAAGUUGCUUGAUGUUUGAUAAUUAAAGGUGACUAUUAAAUGAUAUCUAUAAAAAAAUUUAUUUAAUAAAUAUGAGAAUUUUUAAAUGUUUAAAUCAUUUAAGAUUUUUGUUGAUUUAGUUUAUUCGUUUGCUUUCCCAUAAUUUCUCAGAUACCAAACACUUUGUUAUGUGUUGAAUAAAUAAUUAACCACCAAUUAAAAGCAGAAGGAACAAUAUUUGUGUUUGAAUCCUGAGAAAAUUGAGUAGGAAAAUAAAGGGAAAUUUUUGCAUUUUAUGAAGUUUAUUUUUCUUAGUUAUGAUGAUUUAUUGUUUUGGAGGUCCCUAAAAGUAGAAUAAUGGUCCCCAAAUUUACAAUGUUUUCCUGCAAUCAAACAGUGCCUUUUUUGAAACUGCUCAAUUAUUAAUCGCUUGGUGUCUACUUGUCCAUUCCAUUGACCUCUUACAACCACAUGAUGAGCUUGUUAUUGUGAUUGAUCUUCAAAAGCUCUAUCUUCGAAUCUUCUUCUAAAAUUAUUUUAAAAACAGAUUUAUUUUACGUAACUAUCUUCAUUUCCUUCAACAAAUAUAUUUUUGUCUCUUAUGUAUUUGUUUAUUCUAACUUAAAAUACUAAUUAAACACAGUCUAAUUUUUUUAAUUUGAUUUAUAAUUUUUUUAAAAAAUAUUUGAUUAUCACAACAUAAAAUAAAAGUUUAAAAAAGAAACACUCACAGGCCUACACAACACAUGUUGGCCUAUUCCAAACUAUCAAGUCAAGCAUUGAACCUUUCCAAAUUGCAUUUUUUUUUUUGGUCUAAUUACAGUCCCCAUUUUCAUUUACCGUUGGCCUUACACAAAAACAUCCCUUUCAAGUUACAAAACGACGUGCAGCUCAAUCAAUGCCUUCAUUGCCUACAGCCUUCAAAAAAUCAACUCAUUAGUUAGUUUCGUCCUUGGCUCGCGUAGAACGACAUCCACUUUAAAUGACAGCCACCGUGAUGUUUGACUUGUGGUUUAGAAUAAGAAUUAUGUGUCCUUAAUUUUUUAAUUUUAGUAAUUGAAUUUUUUUUUAAUUAUAGUGGUUGAUUGGUAGUGGUAAUUGGUGUUUCAUAAACAAAGAUAAUAAAUAGCUGGUACUUAUAAAAAAUCGUAUACCAAUUUGAUCCAAAAUCUCUUAUUGAAUUAAAAGACCUUUACUUUUAGUCGGGGGAUAAAGCAAUUAUUUUUUUUGUUUUUUUUGAAGAAGUUUUUUCUUAAAAACAAUAAAGAUAUAUAUCUAUUUACUAUUUAUGUUUGUUGUUUGCGAAGAUGACGUUUCCAUCUUUUUUUUUAUAUCUAUACCGGCUAAAAUCAUGGGUGAGGACUUUUAAAUCCUUAAGAAUUUAUGUAAGGAGAGAAAAUAUAAUGAAAUUUUGAAGAAAUAAAGUUUAAAAAUAUACAUGCUAUAAAAGUUAAAAAUAAAAAGAUUAUAAAUCUUGAACUUUGAGGAUUGAUGUGGUAUUUAUAUCUUACAUGUUUUGUACUUUUGAAGAGAUGAAGGAUUGAAAAGUAAUUUUAUUAUGUAGUAUUUUAAGUUAUAUUUCACUCAAAAUAAUAUAUAUUAAAUUAAUAUAUAAUAUUGAGAAAUCUGUGUGAGAUCUUGAAAUUUUUUUUGAAUGGAAUGUUGGGUUAAAACCCACUAAAAGUAAAACAUAAAUUCACGUAUAUUGUCUAGAUCCAAUCACAUUAGACUUGAGACGCACCCUCGAGCCCAUUAAAAGUAUAUGGUUCAAGGCAGUGCUUGGACUCAGAGCAGUUAGGCUUUUGGGAGUAUAUUUUAGCCAAUUAAAUUUUGGUCAAAAGCAAAUAGAAAGCUAUUGUUCUGUUGAUUGAUUUCUAUUCAUUAGUCUUUUUCUUUCAUUGACUCGGUUUCUCUGGGUGCUGACAAGUUAUUCAUGGUGAAGUGAUAAUCUCUUCUUUUCUUCUACUAAAAUUCUUGAUGUUUAGGCCGGGAAUAAAUUUAGCUCCUCUUGUUUACCUAGAAAAUUGAGGGAAAGCUGUAGCUGAAAUAAUUUAAAACCAUUUAAGAUUUUUGUCAGUUUAGUUUAUUCGUUCACUUUCUGUAGUUUCUCCGAUGCCAAACACUUUGUUAUGUGUUGAAUAAAUAAUUAACCACCAAUUAAAGCAGAAGGAACAAUAUUUGUGUUAGAAAAUUGAGUGGGGAAAUAAAGGGAAAGUUUUGCGUUUUACGAAGUUUUUUUUUCUUAGUUAUGAUGAUUUAUUUUCUUGGAGGUCCCUAAAAGUGGAAUAAGGGUCCCAAAAUUUACAAAGUUUUCCUGCAAUCAAACAGUGCCUUUUUGAAACUGCUCACUUACUUGUUGUCUGCUUGUCCAUUCAAUUGACUCCCUGCAACCACAUGCUGUAUUGGAGGUUUCUCUACCAGUGAAGAUAGCAUCAAAUGAUGAGCUUGUUAUUGUUCAAAAGUUCAAUCUUCAAAUCUUCUUCUAAAAUCUUUAAUUUUACUCUCAUAUUGAAUUUAUGAAAAUGUUAUUAUUCAUAGAGUUCAUAAAGAAAGAUGAUUACCCUUUUUUAAAUAGUUUUAAAAACUGUUAGCCAUGUGUUACUAAAUAACUUCUGUAUUUUGUAUUAUACUUUAUAUAUAAUUGCUAGAAGAUAAAAUAAUCUGUUUUUUAUUUAUGUAUAUCACAAUACUUUUAUCCUAACAUUAUUUUUUAAAAACCAUAACUAAAAGUAUUUUUUUUAAUUUAUUUUUUAAAAUCGUAAUCACAAAAGCUACCUUAGUGUAUGUUUGGUAAUGUGGUGUAGGAUACUUUUACAAAGUAUUUUUAAAUUGAAAAUGUAUUAAAAUAAUUUUUUUUAAUUUAAAAAAAAAGCACUUUAAAAUCAUCAAAAAAUAAUUAAAAAAUUAAAUUAAUAUUUUUUUAAAAUCAAAUACAUUUUAAAAGUAAUUUGAAAUGGACACCCUUAGCAUUCAUUUGUUGCAGGAAAAUGCUACACAGAGAUUUAUUUAUUUUUCACGUUGUUUUGUUGGAUGUAAAGCUGUUUCUAUUUUCUUAGAGCAGCGCCAACCUCCUCUUGCUGAUCUCUCUUCAUGCUAUUGGCUUUUUUGUAAGCAUUUUGUUCUGUGUCGGAAAUUAAAAGUCUGUUUGGUAAGUUUUUAAAUUAUGAUUUUUUUUUUGUUUUAUGUCAUAAUCCAAAAAUUAUUUUUCAUAAAUAACUUACGAAAAAAAAUAAAUAACUUCAAGUUAUAAAGAUGUUUGGUAAAAAUGAUUUAAAUUAACUUUUUUUAAUGAAAAAUGUAACAUGAGUUAUAGCUCAUAGGUUAAAAGUUAAAAAAUAUUAACUUUUUUUAUUCAAAUUUGGAAUAAACUUCUGAUUUAUUUAAGUCAAAAAUUGAAAAAUAACUUAAAUCAAAUUAUAAAAGUAAUACCCAAUAUAACUUAAAUUUAACUUAUAGUAUGCUUCAUAAAAUUGGCAAUUUCCUGUACAGCAUAAGCUUCUUAUUAAUAAACACAAAUGAUCCAACAACUGUGUAUAUGUUAUUAAAUGAAUUGAAACUCCUUUUGAUAUUUAGACAACAAAGAAUUCGGACCUAUACUUGAUUAGGAUUUAGAUUAUGUCAUUGAUACUCAAACAGGUGUAUUCAUAAAUAAAAAAAUUCAUACAAUUUUUUUUAUUUUAAUCCCAAAUUGAUAUAGUAAAAAAAAAUAAUCUCCUGAGUCGAUGAGUUAUCUAAUUGACCCAUCAAGCCAUGUCAUAUUUUAUAAUACUGCUAUUUAUUUAUAUAUAAAAAAUAUUUUUAUUGAUAUUAUCAUCAAUCUUCCUAUGAUAGAAUAGAAAUAUCUAAAACUCUAUACGGUAAUAUAGAAAAUUGAAGGCUUUAUGGCAUUACAUGCCUUGAAUUGGUUUUGUACAUGCAGCAGUAAUGUUUUCGCGUACACCCAUGAAACCAUUGGCCUGCCUGCAACCGAAAAAAAAUUGAAAUGAGAAAGGAAUGCCUUUGGCUUUCUUCAUAAGUAAACCAAACAUGAAGCAAGGAAUGCCUUUUCUAUUCUUUAUAUAUAUAUAUAUAUGUGGGCAAAUCAUAUUCCUUGAGUGGGAUUAGGGACAAUCAUAUAGCUCGAGUUUCAUUCUUGGAAGUGGCAGAGAGUAUUCCUUAUUUAAUUAAUUAUUGUCUUCUUUUCAGGUCCUUUCGUUUUUUUUACCCCAAUCAUCAUAAUUAUAGGAACACUACAUCCAUUAAGGAUUAUAUUUGUGGUUGCAAUCUAUUGAUAGAGAGGCUGUGGGUGUCUAAGUGAUCGUGAACCUUUCAUUCGUUCCGGUCUCUGCUAUAUAAGGUGUGUGUAUUUUAACUAAUUCUUGUAUUAUUAAUUUGUUUUUGUCUUUAUAUUAUAUUGUUAUGCAUAUAUUAUGUGUUCAUACAUGUUUGCAAGUAUGAUCCAUGAAGAAAGAAAGUGAAAUACUUGUUCAAUUUAAUCCUUAUUCUCUCCUACUAGACUCAAUCAAUCUCUAUAUAUACAAGUUUAUAUGGAAGUCUAUAUAUCUCGUUGUAGGGUUGAAUAAUUGUAAAUACAGAUCAAACACCCAUUAUUAAAAAGAUUAUGGUGUUUUAAUUUAUUAGUCAAUUAGAAAACUAAUUAGUUUUAAAAUCUUCUUAAUAAUACAUAUAUAAAAUUAAAUUAAGACUUUAAUCUUGAUAGCUAACAUUUUGAACUUUUACCUUAAAUUUGAUAUGGAUGUAAAAUCUACAAAUUCACAAGACUAAUAAAAUUUCUCUGUGUUUGGUGAAUUAAAGUAGGGUAAUGGUCUAAAUAAUAUUACUCUUGUAAAAGUUGGAUCUCCUUCAAUUUUCAACCUCAUCUUUCUAUUAUAGUGAAAAUAAAAAUGAUGAACAUUCUAACUAACUAUAAUGUUUGGAUUUAAUAGUGCAUGGCUAGCUUUCACCACCAUAAUUUGAUCUUGACACCAUCAUUCGUUUUUUUUUUUUUUUUUUAUUAUAUCACUCAUUUUGUUUUAUAUUGGAAAGCCCAAAAAUCCACGAAGUAAGAGCAGACCUUCCCAUUACUUAAUAAUUGAGGAAAUUAGAUUCAUUUUAAUCAAAUCAUCUUCAAUAGAUAAAGCUAUCAUGUAAUUAUUUGCUAGGCUAAGCAUAUUUGUAUAUUCACAGUCCCUCUUAAACUCUAAAUACUAUAAAUCUACAAGGAUUUGUAUGAUGUUAAGAGAAAUAUAUAUCCCCUUUUAGCCAACACUAGAUACUUUUCUACGCUACCAUAUGAGGUGAAUCAAUUUUUUUAAAGUAAAAAAGAAUAUAUAAGUGUACUUAACAUGUUUUGUAGCAGGAAAAAAUAAUCUAUGGAGGGGUUGAGCAAAGUGAUUUAAUCAACUUUAUAGGUUCAAAAACAACCCAAACGAGUGGUUAGCAUAUAGUUUGACUAAAAAAAUCAAGAUAAUAUAUUUUUUAAAAAUAAUAUUAAGACGACAACAUAUUAGAUUGACUUGGAUUUACUAGAAUCAACUUAGGUUAACCUAUCAAGUUCCUGACCUGAGUUAUAAGACCUUAAUAACCUUACAAAAGAUAACUAAGAAAAAAUAUUAAGCCUAAUUUCUAAGCAACACAAUAUUGCAAAAUAAAAUUGAAAAAAAAUUAAUUAAAAAAAUGACAUAAAAAACCAUCAUAAUCAACCCAAGUUAACCAACCAAACUCGUAACCUAUGUCAUGAGGUUAGGAUAAUCUCAAAGAAAACAAAAUGAAAUAAAUUAUGAAGCCUAAUAAUGAACUCCACAUUGAAAAAAAAUUGAAAAAAAAAAUAUUCAAUUAAAAAAGGAUAAAAAAAAACUAAGACAACUAGGCUAACCUGCGAUAGAAUCAUGAGACUGUGAUAUGCCCAUAGAAAGUAAAUAAAAAAAAUUAUGAAAUUCAAUUCUUAAUUAAUACAAUAUUGAAUGAAUAAAUUAAAUAAAAUCAAUUAAAAAAUAUCUCAGGUCAACUCGGAUUAACCUGUCAAACUCGGGUCUUAAUACCAAAAUAUAUCUAUAAAACAAAAAACAAUUAUAAAGUGAAAGUCUUGAUAGCUAACAUUUUGAACUUUCACCUUAAAUUGAAGUUUUAUAUGUGAAUUUCUCAUUUGUUUAUCUCUUUACUAUCAAGUUCUUAUACAGAUUCUUAAAUCAUGGUUGGUUGAUGUUUAACUAAGAGAAAUGCACAUAUCAAACUACAUUCUUAUUAUGAGAGAUUCACUAAAUUGAGAACUAUUAUGGUCUUAUGCCUCUACCUAGUACUUUUUAUGAAUAUCUACAAAAUCUAUCCAUACUUUUGUUUAAAGCGACACCCCUCCUUAUGUUCUUAUAGAUGAAUGGCUAAGUUUCAUAAAAAAACAUGAACAUAAUCAAAAUGGAUUAUUCCCUAUACUCUUUUUAUUUAUUUAUACAAAAAAUCAAGAUAAGGUUUUUAGUAACCAUACUUUUUUUGGUCUAAAUCAAAUGACCUAUAUCUUUACAAUAAUUUCAUUUAUGGUUAGGGUCAUAGGAUUGUUUGGCUUUAACAGAGUAAUUUUUCCAAUACUUUUGGUUCCUUUUAAGUUGAUAAACUUAACAUCUUUUGUUAAAAACACAUCUUUGGCUUCAAAGCACAUUUUCUAAUUCUUAGAGCCUUUUGUAAAUUUAGCUAGUAUUGUAUUCAACUUGUCAAACUUUUCUUGUAAGGAUUUAUUUUCUUCUUCAAGUUGAUUUACCUUUUUAUUUUCAUCAAUCACAAUGCAAUCUUUAUUUUCUAGAGUUUCUUUUUCUAGCAAACAAGCAUGCAUAAUUCUCUUUCAAUAAACUAUAUUUUAAACCUAAAUUUUUAAAUGUAUCAUAUAAAUAUUCAAGAGCAUCAUGCAACUCAUCAGAGGUAGGGUCAGAUUCAUCAUCCAAAUAUUGUAUCUCAUUUUCACUUUUGAUAGAAAACUUCUUAAUCACCUUGUAAUUAAGGCAAUGUCUUCUUCAAUGCUUUCUUGAUCAUCAUCAUCAUCCUCAAUGUGGUGAACGGCUUCAAAUGCCAAAGAGUGUACAUUUUCAUUCCCUCACUAAUAUCAUGAGUUUUUACUUAACUCUCGUAGGUUCACAAGUAUGGUUUUGUUUACAACAAACUCUUUCAUAGAGUGGAUGAUAUGAAUGAAGUUCUAGUAUCUCCAUAACUCACUAAAUAGUACUUAUAGGAUUUAAAAGUGUUUAAGUAUAGUGAUAAUGAAAAUGUAUACUCUUUGUUCUAGAAUAUAAAGGUUUAAACCCACUACUUAGAGUAUAAUCAAUAAUAUUUUAUUGUUAUUUUGAUCUUAGAGUAUGUUGUUCAUCAUAUUUGUUCAGAAUCCCUUGCUAAUUUUACAAUUAGACAAGCUAUAUAAUUGUUUCUAAGAAAAACUAGUCGUUGGAACCCCACUAAUGACUAAAACGAUCGAUUGGUUCAAAUUGAUCAAACCAAUCAAUCAACCGAUUCCUGCAAAAUUCCCAAGUGUUUAUCACUGAUAAACAAGUGAUCGUCUGAUUCAUACAUAAUUCUCAAAUGUUUUCAUCAUUGAUGAACAAAUGGUGGUUCAUUUCAUGUAGAAUUCUAUAUUUAACAGUUUUAAUCUAGGUGAAUUCUUAGAGCCAUCUAUCUUAGAUCAUCUUUUAUAUCAAUCCUAAAUGUAUAUAGAGUAAUGUGUGUGAGUUUAAUUUAAUUAUACCAUCAAGUAAGAUGUAAAGAUUUAUAAAUUAAACACUAAAAUGAAUGCUUGAACUUUUUGAUUAAUUUUUUAUGAAAUCCUUCAUGUUUAUUAAUGUGAUCUUAAUAUGAAACAUGUUUAAAGCUUAUUCUCAACCAGACAUAUUAUUAGUCUAUGUUUUUUUUUUUGUUAUAAUCAAAAUAUAAAAAAAUAUGAAUGUCUGACUCUAAAGGUCAAUAAAAUCAUCACCAUUUAGAGUAAAAAUAUAUCUAGACUAGGAUUUGCUAUCAUUAAUAUCUAAUUUAAAUCUAGCAUUUGAAUAUCCAUAACUACUGGUUUAUCUCAUUUAUAGAUCAUAAAGAAAUUCUUAUUUCUUUUUAACUACUUCUUAGACUCAAAACCUUUAGGUAGUGUAAUAUACAUAUCUUUAUGAAUUUUCCUAUAUAGAAAAGCAUUUUUUACAUCUAUUUGCUAAAAUUCAUAAUAUUAGCAUGUAGCUAUAGCAAGAAGGUUUUUACAUAACUAUUAGCAAGAAGGUUUCAUCAAAGUCAAUUCUUUGCUUGUAACCAUUUUCAACUAUUCUGGCAUUGUACAUCUAUACGUUGCCAUUAAUAUUAAUUUGUUUCUUAAAGAUCUAUUUACAUUUAGUGAGUUUUACCCUUUAGGUUGAUAGCCAAGUUAUAUUUUUCUUACACAUGAAUUUUACAUCCUUGAUUCAUUUUAUGGAAUCAAUAUUAAAUAUUGCUUUCAUGUAAUUGGUAGGCUUAUUAAGUAUAAGCAACUCAUCAUUUUUAGCUUAUAUAAAAAAUCCAUAUCUCAUUAGUGUGUGACAUCUUCUAUUAGAUCUAUGAAGUUAUUGUGUUUCUUGAGCUUUAAGUUGAGCAUCCAAUGUUAUAUAUUCUAGCUCAUGUUUUAAUUAGAUGUCAGUUUAUGGUUCUUGAAUUUCUUCAAAUUUUAUUUUUCUUUCACUACUCCUUUCAAGAAUAAAUUCUUUUUAAAAAUAUAGCAUGUUUGGAGACAAAUAACUUUUGCUCAAUGGAAUGGUAGAAAUAUUAUCCAAUAGUUUUUUUUCAAGAUAUCCUAUAAACUUAAAUUUAUUUGAUUUAGCUCCUAACUUUCAUAUAUGAUAUGCUUUACAUAAAUAUCACAUCCCCAAAUCUUCAAGUAUAAUAAGUUAAGUCUCCUACCUUUUCAUAUCUUAUCUGAAGUCAUAUUACUAGAUUUUGUUGGAACUUUAUUUUAAAACUAAGCAACAAUUUUUUAGGCUAUAUACCUAAAAAAAAAUAAAAGAUUUGUAUAGCUCAUAAUAGAUCAUCCCAUACCCAAUAGGGUACGAUUUGUCCAAUUUGGAAACUUUAUUAUAUUAUGGUAAAUGUCAUAAUUAUUGAUUCUUUGGAUGAGAUUCGAAACUCAUCUUACACAUGAAUUUUAUAAUUAAUACUAUUUAAAAAUAAAUAAAAUAUUUUUUUUCUAAAUUCACCUAUAAUGAUGAUACAUUUCUUAAUCAUAUAGGUUCUAUUAUACCCAAUAUAUAUCCACUUAUUACUUUUGAUUAAAGCAACAUAUUGUUAGGAUUGAAACAUAACAGUUACAAUAUGAACCAACUAUUUCAACUACUAUCUCCUUCUCACCACCACUAUUAACAUCUUCUCUUUAUCCACCACAAUCACCUCACCACCAUCUCUUCUUUUAUCACCAUUACCACCACUACUGUCAUCAUUUCACUACCACUAUCACUACCACUUCACCACAAUCUCUUUCACCACCAUUGUCAUCUCACCACCAUCACCAUCUCAUCACCACCUCUUUCAUAAUCAUUGUCAUCUCACCACCUUCAUCACCAACAUUAUUAAAAAACAUUUUACAUGUAAAACAUUGAAUGGUAAAGUAUUUUUCAAGCCAAACAUUAAAUUUAAAAUAAACUAUUUUUUAUUUGCAAAACAAACAUACUCUUAACAUAUAAUUUUAUCUCUUCUAGAAAAUUCAAUAAAAAAAUUCAUUUUUUCAUGUUUACCUAAGGUUAGCCUUCACAAUUAUAAUUCCGUUCUCUAUCUCUUUUGGGAUAUUUUCAGUUAGAAAUAAUUUCCAUUCUAUAAUUCUCUUUUAGGAUAUCUCAUUUAGGAUGUUAAUUUUUAUAGUGUUACAUAUUUUUUUAAAAACUUUCUUUGUAUUGAACCGUUAUUGCUUUAAAUUCCCUCAUGUAUACAUAACAUGAUUAAUGAGCUGUACCAAAUUUUUAUUUUGAGCUUCUAAGAACAUUCCAAAAGUGUCAUUUGAAAAUGAAUUUAAUCAAACUUCUAUACAUUUUAUCCUUGUUGAAUAUGUCAUCUUUUUCUUCAUCUUUUAAAUAUUUUUUAUUUUAUUUUGAAAUCAUCCUCACCAUGUUAUUUCAUACAUUUUCUAUUUUUCUUAUAUAAUCUUUUUAAUUUGAAGUUGUCUUUAAUUUUUUUAUUCUCUACUUAGUAACAAUAUAAUCUUCAUCGUCUUCAAUUCUGUAAAAAAAAUUAAAAAUUGUUAUAGAAAUCUGUCUUUCUUAUAUAGCUGGGAAAGUUAAAUUUUAUUCUAAUAAAUGAAUUUUAAUGCAAUUGUAUAUAAGAAAAUACACUCUUAGAAAUGUAUAAAGAUAUCAAAGGAAGAAAAAAUCUUAAAGAACUAAGAAGGGAAAGAUAUUAAUAAUCUAUAUCUUUUUUUUUUUAUUAACGUGGGUGUCCGGGUCAGCUUGUGCGCACCUCGACUAAUCCCAAAGGCCCUCAAGUUAACGACAAUAUAAGCCUCCAAUGACCCUGAGGUUUGUGAGACUCAAACUGGUGACUUUUAGAAAGCAAACCUAAAGUAUGACCAGUUGAGCUACGCUUCUUGUGGUUCUAUAUCUUAAAUUUUAAUGUAUAGAGUUUUUUUAUUAACAAUACAACCAUAUCAAUAUUCUAUAUUUUAUUAACAACACUGUGACAAUUUAAAAUUAAUAACAAAUUAAUUUAAAGAUAUUAUAGUCUUCAACAAAAGAUAACACCCUAACUUUUGUAGAUGGCACAGAUAGAUAUAGAUAAGGGGACAAGGAAUUAAUUGUUCAUUGGUAUACUUAUACCUUGCCUUGUUGCUUUUGAAGCUUGAAAAGGCCUUCUCGUUUUGUUCCUCGCUGAGCAAUCAACACCAGUGCUUUUCGCGCAUAUUUUCACAAAUUAAGGUAAUAAAAUUCCUAUUCUCAUUCUCUCAAUGCCUAUUUUACUUGUAGUGAACUCCUCUCACAGUCGGCAUCCUUAUUUCUCUGAUUUUCAGACUGGUGGAAAAUGGCUAUCGAAAGUGUUGGUGGAUCCAUUUUAUCUAAGAUAGCAGAACUCUUGGUGGAACCAACAAUAAGGCAGUUCCGUUACAUGUUCUGUUUCAACAAUUUUGUUCAAGAAUUCAAUGAACAAAAGAAGAACCUGGCUUUGACUCUUGAUCGUUUGCAAAACGCUGUCGAAGUUGCUGAAAGAAAUGCUGAAGAAAUUGAGAAGGAUGUCAACAAAUGGUUGGAAGAUGCAAAAAACGAAAUUGAAGGUGUUAAUCGUUUGGAAAAUGAAAAGGGAAAAAAUAGCAAAUGCUUUAAUUGGUGUCCAAAUUGGAUACCACAAUUCAAGUUAAGCAAGGCCCUGGCAAAAAAGAUAGAGACUUUGAAAAAACUUGAAGAAAAUAGACCAUAGAUAUAGUUACAUGCAUAACUUAUUAGAUUAAUUAUAUUUGUGUCAUUUAUGUAGGUGUUUAACUAAUCAUCAUGAAUUUCUCCUUCGUUUAUCACUACAACAUUUAACAGUUUUAUUGACGGACCAAAUCUGUCGGUGUAAGAUUGCCACUUCAUCAUUAAAUUUUUUACCGACUAAAUUCCCGACGGAAAGCGUCCAUCGACAUAGCAUUCGUCAGUAAUUCGACAUUCUGUCGGUAAAAAAAAAUACAGAUGGUUUUACAGACGGAAAAUGCGUGCCAAAAAAAAAUUCCCACUAAACAUAUACCGACAUAAAUAUUCCAUCGAUGAUCGCGGCAUAUGCAGUAAAUAUUUUUCAACUCUCUGUAAAAUACCGGCGGAAAAAUUCCGUCUGGAAAUCCGUCGGUGGUGUUUUUUUAAAAUUAAAAAAAAAACUCAUUUAUAAUAAAUAAUAUAAAAUUAUAUAAAUUAAUAGUAAAAAAACCAAUUAUGCAAAUAAAAUUGUAUUAAACAUCAAAAAUAGAAAAAUAAAGUUAAAUAAUACUCAUCCAAAUAUUCAUUACAAAUUUAAUGUGUUUCCAAAAAAAUAAAUUAAACUAGAACAAUGGUGGAGCUGGAGGGUGAGGAGGAGGUGGUGGAGGCUGGUCAUUUCCGGGACCAAACAACAAAUAUGUAUCACCCAUAUGUGAUCUAAUGUUCAUGACCAUUUGGCGGAGUUGUUCAUAAUUCACCGACGGUUGCUUGUAUUUUUCGAUGAGAUGAGUCGUGUGUUGCUGCAAGGCCACGAACUCCUUAGAUUGGGUGCUCGAUAUUGAUUAGGAGCUCCCAACGGUUGAGACAUUACGGGUCGCCUGCAAGUUCUCGGCCAUAGUAUUGGAGAGCCCGUACACCCGAUUUUUAUCGAGUCCACCAGACAAUCCUACCUUCAUCCACAAAUCCAGAUCGAAAUUCGGAUGGGACGAAGAAUCGUCCCCAUAUAUCUCCCUCAACCGGCUAUUAUAGGUCUCUUGAAAAUGAAAAUAGAAAUCAUCAUAUUCAAUUCAAGAAAAAUAAUAACUUACGAAAUAAAAUGGUUGAACGAACAUACCACGAAGUGUUGAACGCGGUUGUCAACGAACUGUUGCACCCCUUUUUGGUGGUUUUCACUCUGUACGUGCGUCUCUACAAACAGCUCCAUUGGACUCGGCUCACGUCCAAGAGACGUAGCCUAUAAGAAGAAAAAUUAAUUAAGUAACAACAAAUUUAUUAACGAUAUAUUUCAUUUAAAUUAAUCUUACCAUCCGUUUCGCAUGUGUAGCAAACGGAACGAAGCUAUCGGUGUGCGUGGUCACCGAACCAUGAAUUUGCCGGUUCCGAUUGUCAGCACCAGACUGUGAGCGUCGUGUGAAUUGUUCAAACAUCACGUGCUCAAUAUAUUGCAGCCAUAUAUCCCCCGGGAUGUAUUGCGGUUUGAAAUCCCUCCAAACCACCACGCAUUCCAACCUUGUAGACCGUUAUUUUCUGGCGUAUUUUUUUGCUUUUUUUUGUUCCCUCCAAACCGCCACGUCAUUCCAACCUUGUAGACCGUUAUUUUCUCGCGUAUUUUUUUGCUUUUUUUGGUGCUUCAUACUAAAAAUCACACAACCUACUUCUAUAGUGACAAAUUAGAUUUUAAAACAUAAUUUUUUUUAAAAAAAUAUUGUAUUGUUUUCGAUGUUACCUAGUUGCCACGUGAUUUUCGUACACCCUCCUCGCAACAUUGUCAUGCGCACUAUCCCACUUGAAUUUGUGUUGUGUAUAAAUAAUUUAUUUAAAAUAAAAAUAAUAAUUUAUUUAUAAUUAUAAUAAUAAUUUAUUAAAGAUAAGCUGGAAAUUAGAAAUUAACACCAAUUUGAAAUCUUCGAAAUCAUGCAUCGAUAUAAGGUCUCCAUUCAGGAUGUCUGGAAACCUGACUCCAUUGAAAUAAUAGAAUCUCCAUCGACGAUUUAAACACCAAUGAUAUUAAUCGGGCGACCUCAAAGUUUCUGACCCUGAAAAUAAAUUAAAAAAAUAAAAAUUUGAUUAGUUGUUCAUAAAUUAUGUUAUAAUUAAAAAAAAACUAAAACCAAAAAAAACUUAGAAAUUGUAGAUUUGAAUGUUAACUAACCAAGGAAACUGGUCUUGCUCAAUUUGGAAAUGUAGAACUCCAGUUAUGGGUUACCAACUGAGACUGAGUCGUGAUUGAUUAUGUAGGGCAGUAGGACUAAUUAGUAAAUGAACAAUUUUGACUAUCUUGGAGGCAAAACUGGGUUCUCCUCCCUCAAAGAACUAGUAGCCUCGUGUCUUAACUUUCUAACGAGAUCAAUCUCCGUUAAAAUGGAGUUUUAGAACUUUAGAUAUAGUUAAAAAUCUGAUGAGUGUUCAGACAGUAACAGUUGGAAAUUGGACAGUAACAGAUCAAAGUCAAACAGUAAUAGUUCAAAGUCAGACAGUAACGGUUGGAAAAGUCAAACAGUAACAGUUCAAAGUCAGACAGUAACCGUUGGAAAUUGGACAGUAACAGUUUAAAGUUAGACAGUAACAGUUGGAAAUUAGACAGUAACAGUUGGAAAUUAGACAGUAACAAUAGACUUUCAUGUGAAUACUAUAAAUAAAAAUAUAAAAGAAUUGAGUCAUACGAACACUUAUAUAUUGAGAUAUUAACUCUGAAAAUAUACAUGAUAUAUGUAUGUAUGUUAUUAUGAGGAAAUGAACAUGCAUAGAAAGUAACAUAUGAGUAAUGGAUGAAUAUGAAUUCUCUAUAAUAUCGGCUUGAAAGAAUCAUAACAAAAAAAAAGAAAACUUCCUUGUGAUUCAGGAGGAGCAACCAGGAUUGGAUCUUCUGUUAGGGGAGGUCGUGAGACAGGCGAAGCAGGUGCGUGAUUUUCCCUCCUAUUUACACUUAUACAAUUUAGAAUCCUUCUGGUGAAUGCAAUUAUAAUAAAUAUCGUGUUCAAUAUAAAUAAAUCCUAGUGUAUUUACAAGAUUAGCUUCGGCUAAUGGCAUCCGUGAUAGGAUUGCCAGGAAAAUUUACAUGAUUAGCUUCGGCUAAUGGCAUCCGUGAUAGGAUUGCCGGGAAAAUGAUUCACACGAUUAGCUUCAGCUAAUGGCAUUCGUGAUAGGAUUGCCGAGAUAUGAUUGAUAUGAUUAGCUUCGGCUAAUGGCAUCCGUGAUAGGACUGCCGGGAAAUGAUUUACACAAUUAGCUUCGGCUAAUGGCAUCCGUGAUAGGAUUGCCGGGAAAUGAAUUACAGGAUUAAACCUUACAAGGUCACCCAGUUUAUGCAAGUAAAUAAGAUUAUUCAAUUAAGAAUAUACAAAUGAGUGUUAAUUGGGUUUAAAAGAUUUACAAGCAAAAUAUAAGUUCUUUGUUAGAAUUCUCAUGGAUUUGAUAAAAAGUUAAUACUUCAUUCGUAUUCAUUACAUGAGCAUACAUAUAUUCUUUAUCGACAUAAUGGUAUGUUUAUUUAGGUAACAGGUCCAUCAAACAUUCAGGAAGAUCAUUAGUUAGGACUCAACUUUGUGAAGCUUAUGUAAAUAUUUAACUUAAAACAAAAGGGAAUUAACGUGUUUAUGUAGUAUACUUUUGUGCAAACCUUGAUGUAUUUAUAAAGGUUUAGCUUAGCAUGUAGUAUUUUUAGUUAUCUAGUAAUUAACCAUCUUGAAAUAUUUAAGAACACUUCUUAUAUUGUAAAUACUUUCUUUGCAUGUUAGUAUUCCUUUUCCUUUAAAUUUUAUGAUAUGAUGUGUUGGACUAUGUUCAUAUUGAACUUACUUAUAGGAUAUAUAUAUAUAUUGUGUGGAUUGUAUGAGGUGUGGAAUUAUGAGGUUUGAUAUAAGGUCCGGAAUUAAGGGACUUUGUGAUGAUGGGUUGAUUGAGUAAACUGAUAGUAGUCGAUAACUUGGGAUGUCCUAACUGCAAACGAAACUCUGCCGAUUUUUGGAAAAAAAAAAAUUACCCUCAAAUAAAGAGGAUAUGUUGGAAUCUUUUAACAUUGAUCGAGUCAUACAGUCGGACUAUUACAGAGGAGGUCAUUGCAGACCCCCCUAUUUGUUUGGAUUUUCCGGCGGCGACAUGUUAACCCACUCGCCGCUAGUGGCGUGGCGCGUGGAGGAGACGCGCCGCCACUGUUCCAGCGCCCAGAAACCUUCCGCCACUGUUCCGGCGGAUCUUAGAGGAUGUUCCCAGCAAUUCCUGGAGUUUUGGGGUUUUAUUGUGUAAUUUUUGAAUUGUAUUUGAUUUAUUAUGAGUUUUGUUUUUUUUACAUGUAAAAGAUGGUGUAUGAGAAAAUCAUAAUAAAAAGAGAUGUGUGUGUGUGUUUGUAUUUUUAUUUAUGUUAUUGAAUUGUAAAAAUAAAAAAGAUUAAAAGAAUUAAGUGUUUAAUUUGAUUAUAGUUAAAUAUCUCAAGGACAAAUAAAAUCAUGUUAUAUUUUCCAUGAAAGUGUAAGAACAUGUUUCUACACAUAUUCGAGGAUUUAAUAACUGAUUUAUUAAAACCUUAGAAUUUAAUGAGUAUUUUAAAUUUUCAAAUCACAUCAAAUCGCAAAGCAACUUACCUCAGGUAGGGUGCGCUAGGGGUGCUAAUACCUUCCCUAGCCACAAUCAGUCCCUUACCCUAGAAUUUCUGACAACGACUAGUAAAUCUGGGUUUCCUAGUAACCUUCAAUGAAAUACUAGGUGGCGACUCCAAAGAACCAAUCAAGCAAACAUAACGAAAAAUCGUCGAAUCGUCGCGCGGGGGACGUGCGACAAUCCUAACACCAUUAGUGAAACCUUUUCUCCUUGACAUAAUAAACUUAGCUAAACAUAAUGAAGAAGAGAAACAUAAAUAAACAAGAGAAGAACAUGAUUAUAUAAGUAUAGUAAAGGAAAUGAAAGGUAUAAACAAGAUAUUAAUGAAAGCAAAACUUAAGCAUUUCAAAAAUAUAAAGAAAGAGAGCAAGAACAUGAUCUUGAUCUUGAUUUGAAAACUAAGAUGCCUAAAUACAUGGCAAAUGCCUCCUUUUACAGGCCAAAAUUUAGAAUUAUUGAUUUGAUAACUAAUUGUUAAGUGGGUGGCCACCUCUUGACUUUGUGACAAUUCUUAUCUUCUUGUCUGCCAAAAACGUUAUUGCUAACAUCAGAAUUUGAAUAAAUAGUCUUCAUGAAAGUUUUGGGAAAUUGUCUUAUUUUUCCAACAAAAUAAAAUUGAGGUCAUUUAGACUUCUAGAACUCGAGAUAUGGGCUGAACACUGAAUAGUGUCUAGGCUGCAGGACAGAUUCAGACUUCUCUUUUGAUGCUAAGAUUUGGACUUCCAAACGGCAGAAUAGAGUCUUGGACUCCGCAUGAAUGUUUUAGGCCUAUGUCUUAGCUUUCUAGCCAUAUAAACCAAACUGAAAUCCAAGAUCUACAGCUCCAGAUAUGACCUAAUGACUGAAUAGUGUUCCAGUUUGAAUUAAAUCACCAUCUCUUUUCUAAGCUUAGCCUUUUCUUUAUCCUUUCACUUUCAAUAGUUAAUCACAUCAAUCAAUCAUUUGAAUUGUGAGAUAUGUCUGCAUUUAAAUGAGCAUUUACCAUAAAUUAAAGCUAUCUUAUAGUAUUAGAUAUGUUAUUAUAAAACAUGCUCUAGUUAAGGAGUUAUUGAUACUUCAAGUGCAAAAUGAUGAUAUAAAACCUUGAUAAAAAUGCAGUUUUAAGUACUAAUCACUCCAUGAGUCGAAUAGAAUGGUCAAAUAAGGAAAGCCGUAAAAAGGUGAGAUUGGAUUUGAGCCUUAGUUUGUAAAAACUUGUGUCUUUUGGUUUUAUUAAUAGCAUGUUAUUUUGUUUUGUUAUUUCUUAUAUUUGUUUAAGUGUGUUUCAGGUUUGUCAUUGUUCUUUAUUUCAAGUGAUGUCUUCUAUAUUUUAUCUUUUUACCUUAGGAUAUUAAGGACAAUGUCUCGUUUUGGUUGAGAAGAGAUGGUAGUAGUUGAUAUUAAAAAAAAAUUAACUAUGUUUUCUAUUUCAUAAACCAUUUGCAAACCUGUUGUUACUAGGAUGACAGAGUAAAGAAGUUCUUUUGUUAAAGUGACUAUUGAGACGCAUCUUAGUAAACAUUCUUAAUAAGGUCUAUCAGAAUACUUCUUGAAAUAUUCAGGUUUACAAACUCUCGCAUUGUUGUCACUUGAUUCUGCUCAUAUACUCGUUUACAAGUAUUUUUAAACCUUGAUUUUUACACACACACUUUAACAUUUGAUUGUAGGUUGCAUAUUUGAUUAUUACAUUAUUUAUGUUCUUUUGUUAAAGGUAACAACUAAGGGAAAGAGAUAGUAUAUAAUUUGCAAAAAACAAAAAACCAAAAAAAAACCAAAAAACUAAAAACUAAAAGAAAUUAAUUAUAUUGAUGAUAAUAAAAACGUAGAUAAGUUUGGUUUCGUAGCCUCCCUAACCUAAGCAAUUAAGCCCGAAGGGGUGUUUUAACACCUAAUACCCUAAAGUCAACUGACUUGGGAGCUAUUAGCCCAAUGCUUGUUACAUGGGUUAAGGAGAAAAGCUUAAGAGAAUCAAACAUUGCACUAUCUAUGUAUCAGUAUCUACAACCCGAGUUACUAAGCUCGUAGGGGUGUCUCAACACCUAAUGCCCUAAGACCAACUGGUCUGGGAGUCAUUAGUUGAAAGCUCGUUACAUAGGUUAAAGAUGCAUUGUAUUUUAAGUUAUCUAUAUAUAUAUAUAUAUAUAUAUAUAUAUAUAUAUAUAUUAAAAAAAAGAGAAAAAAAAAAGAUAAUAAUCCCAACCCAAGGAAGUUAACCUUAGAAAAACAUUAGAACAAAAUUGUGUUUUCAUCCAAGCAAAGCCCCAUAACUAUGUGUUGAUAUAUUGAGCACAAAAGGAAGGUUUAUCAAUAUCUUGUUUAAGAAGUAUGGAGUAGAUAUAUAAAUUUAAUAAGAGUUUGUUUAUUUAGAUAGAUUAAUGGAAGUUGAAUGAUGAAUGCCUUGCUUUGUGGAACUUGCAAAUUGUUUUUCUAUUUUAACACUUUGAUUACUAGGGACUAGUAAUAAGCUAGUUGGGGGGUGUGAUUAGUACUUAAAAGUGCAUUUUUAUCAAGGUUUUAUAUCAUCAUUUUGCACUUGAAGUAUCAAUAACUCCUUAACUAAAACAUGUUUUAUAAUAACAAGUCUAAUAAUAUAAGAUACCUUGAAUUUAUGGUAAAUGUUCAUCUUAAAUGCAGGCCUAUCACAUAAAUAAAAAGAUUGAUUGAUGAGUUUAACUACUGAAAUUGAGAAGACAAAGAGAGAGCUAAGCUUAGAAAAGAGAUACUGAUUCAAUUCAAACUGGAAUACUGUUCAGUCAUUGGGUCAUAUCUAGAGCUGUAGAUCUUGGAUUUCAGUUUGGUUUAUAUGGCUAAAAAGCUAAGACAUAGGCCUAAAACAUUUAAGAAGAGUCCAAAACUCAAUUUUGCCGUUUGAAAGUCCAAAUCUUAGCAUCAAAAGAGAAGUCUGAAUCUGUCCUGUAGCCUACACAUUGUUCAGUGUUCAGCCAUAUCUCGAGUUCUAGAAGUCAAAAUACACCGAUUUAUUUUUUCUUGGAAAGCUAGGACAAUUUUCUAGAACUUUCAUGAAGACUAUCUGUUCAAAUUCUGAUGUUAGCAAUGACGUUUUGUUCAGACAAGAAGAUAAGAAUGUAAAUGUAAUUAGAAUAUUUUGCAAUAAAAUAAAUUAUAAUUAAAUCUUUGAAUAAAUUCAUUAAUCAACGUUAAUGUUACUGAAACAACAUUAAAUUAAUCACUGAACAAGUUGAUUAAUUCAAACAACACGCAUUCAAUCAAUAUAAUGGUCUUGAAGAUAAGUGAUUAAUGAACGUUAAACAAUUCAACAAGUUGAGAUUAGAAACAAGUUGAUUCAAACAGCACGCAUUCAAUCACCAUAUCAUGGUGUGUAUCUUGGACAAGCGGAAAGCACUUGUCCCCGUUUUGUCUUUUAAAAACCCUAAUGCUCCUACUUUCGGUGGAGUUUAGCUUCUUUUUUUUUUACUUAACCUUUCUUAUUAAUAUCACAUGCAAAGUUUUUAAAACAACAUUAUUGUACACAUAAGGUGAAAAUGACAGGGAAUUGACCUCUCCUCACUAUUAUUUUCCUGCUUUCGUAAAGUUUUUUAUAGCUCUAUAUUCUAUCUCGUGCUGAGAGUGUUUCCAAAAGCACUGAAACGUGUGGUGCUAAACGACAAGGCAGAAUAAGGUUAAAGGGAUCUAUUUUAAAAUUUUACUCUUAAGGUGUACAGUGGAAAUCGACUCUCCCUUGUUAAUUUCUAAAUUAACCAUCUGAAGAGGUUUUUUUCUUCUUGUAUAUUAUUGUUUUAAUAAAAACAAUAUAAAAGAAGAAAAGGAUAAAAGUAAAACCAGAGAAAGAUUAAGAAUACCAAGAGAGUGUGGGAUUGGUAAUGCAAUAUAAGAUUUUUUUAAAAAAAAAUUAUUUUUUUGUUAAAAAUAUAUUUAAAUAAUUUUUUUAAUAUUUUACAUCAUAUAUUAGAAUGAUAAAAAAAAAAACACCAUGUAAACUAUUAUCAUUAUAUUUGUUUAUCAUUAUCUUUAUAUUGUAUUAUGCAUGCUAUCUUAAUUAUGUCAUCAAAUUGCAUUUUUUUUAUGGGAAUUGCUGCUCUAACUCGGAAGUUAGAAUCCAUGUAAACUAUUUUGUUUUAAUACUUCUCCUCUUUUCAACAUAAAGUCGUUCUUUUAUAAAUAUAUUCAUUAGAUUGAUGAUAUGCUAUCUUUUCUUUUUAUUGGUUUUGAGAAAGAAAAAAAAAAGUAUUUCUAUCCUUUUAUGGAAAAGCACAGAGAUCUAAGAACUAUUGUGUAAAUAACUGUUAGGGUAAGUGUGAAUUUUAACACAUGGCAUGGAUAGCUAUUGAUGAGGGGAGAAAGGGAUUACAAGUCUGGUUUGGAUAUAAAUUAUACAAAAUCUGACCAUAGUUUCCAUUGCCAUCUCUGUUGAAUAUUCUUGGCACAAACAGCUCAUUUCAAACCAGUUGUCCCUGUUUUGUAUUUUAAAAACUCUAAUUAAAUAUUAAAUUAACACACAAAAAAAAAAAAAACUAAAUGAGAAGGGUUUUUUUUAUUAUACCCUUCCUCACAAACACAACCUUCAACUCUACUAUAGUUGAUGUGAUGGGUCAAUUAUUUCUAACUACGGCAUAACAUUAUACUUCAUGUUUUAAUAUUAUAUUAGUAAUAACAACUCCUUUUAAUUUAUUAGUUCAGAUAUAUAUUUACUUUGUUUUAUAAAAUAUAAAUAGUAUAUUUUCAUGUCUCAAUUAAAAAAAACAUUAAUUAUUGGACUUCAUAAUUUAUUUUGGUGUGUUUUUCAUAAAGUUAUUGUGGUCUUAAACAAACAUCUCGAUAUUUGUUUGAGCGUUAAUUUUUUAAUCAUAUCAUUAAAUAAAAAUAUUUUUUAAAACAAUUACUAAAUUUAGUGAAGUCUAUAACUCGAAUCACGAAUUUAACGGGUUAAAAUUAUUGUUGGAAAAGCUAAUAUUAAAAUUAUUAUUUUAGUAUUAUCAUCAAAUAAUUUUUUUAUAUUUUAAAAAAUUUAUUUAACUCGGCGGAGUAUAGUUAAAUGGAAUGGUAUAAUUUAGAUCUUGAGACACUAACGUCAGCUGAACUACUUCUAGUUUGGAUCUUGAGACACUAACGUUAGCUAAACUUAUUUCCAGUUUGAGAGUAUGGUUGUGGUUGCUUUUUAAAGUGUUUUUCAUGUUGAAAUGCAUCAAAAUGAUAUUUUUUUUAUUUUUAAAAAAUUAGUUUUAAGAUCGGUGCAUCAAAACGAUCCAAAACAUAAAAAAUAUAUUAAUUUUUAACCAAAAAACAAUUUAAAUUUUUUAAAAACACGAAUUGAUCCACGUUUCCAAACUCUCUGGAUUGAUAUGCUUUAAAUGAGCAAUUAAAAUAUCAAAGGAUUUCCGGGACACUCCCAAGACGUUUAAUGGUAUAUUUAAUGUUUGUCCCUAUUGAGAUUACGACAAGACCAAAUAGAAAAGUACUAGUUACAUGCCCCGCGCGAUGUUGCGGGUCAAUUAUUUUUUGCAUUUCAAAAAAAGUUAAGAUCUAAAAGUGUUAGAUUUUUUUGCAAAGUUAUACCCAAGAGUCUUAGGUUUGGUUGCAACGCCUGAUCCAAGAGUAAUAUUUAUAAAAGUGUUAGGUUUUUUUGCAAAGUUAUACCUAAGAGUCUUAGGUUUGGUUGCAACGUCUGACCCAAGAGUAAUAUUUAUAAUUUUAAUAAUAACAUUAAACUUGCAUGACCCAAAUUUAAGUGGGUUUGACUGCAAUACCAGACCCAAUAGCAUUGGACGUGGGUCUGGCUGCAAAGUCGUGUCAUAAAAGUGUGAUAAUUAAAUAGAUUAGUUAAAAAGAAAAAAAACAACAGGAAGAAAAAAACUAAUGAAGAAAAAGAAAAAAUAUAUGAAUUAAUUGGGUUAACCCUUCAAACCAGGUUAACCCGUCAUACCUUGAAUUCGCAUCGUGAAAGUUUGAUAAUUAAAAAGGAAAAAAAAAUUAAUGGGUUAACCAAGAAUUAACUCGGCUAACUCGUCAAACCAGGUUAACCCGUCAAACUCAGAAUCCGUGUCAUGAAAGUUUGAUAACUAAAUAGAAAAAAAAAAUUAACAUUAACAAUUUAAAUUAAACAAAAAAAUUAAUUAAAAAAAAAAGCAUUAGCCUUUUCACUGUGGACUGCAUUGUCCAGUCCACAGUCAAAGGCAUAAAAACAACAAAAAAAGAAAAAGAAAAACUAAAGGCAUCAGCCGAUAACUACUUAGAAAAAAAUUUAAUAUUAAUAAACUAAAUUAAUUAAAUAAAAUUAAUUAAAAAUAAAAAAGAAAAGAAAAAAACUCUAAAAACAAAAAAAAAACUAAAUAGAAAGAAAUUUAACAUUAACAACUAAACUAAACGAAAAAAAUAAUUAAAAAGAAAAAAAAAAGCAAAAAAAAAUAUUCCAGGUUAACUCGUCAAACCAGGUUAACCCGUUAAACCCAGGAUUUGUGUCAUGAAUGUCUGGUAACUAAAUAAAAAAAAAAAGUGAACAUUAACAAACUGAACUAAACGAAAAAAAUUAAUUAAAAAGAAAAAAAUAAAAAAGAAAUGUUGGUUAACUCGUCAAACCAUGUUACCCCUUAAACCCAGGAUCUGUGUCAUGAAAGUCUGAUAACUAAAUAAAAAAAAUUAUGAAAAUAAAAAAACAAAAAACAAUUGACGGGUCAACCCAGAAUUAACUGGGUUCGCCCGUGAAACCAGGUUAACCCGUGAAACUCGGGAUAUGUGUCAUGAAAGUGCAAAAAAAAAAAUUCUAGGUUAACUUAUCAAAUCAGGUUAACCCGUUAAAUUCAGAAAACGUGUCAUGAAAGUCUGAUAACUAAAUAAAAAAAAUUUAACAUUAAUAAACUAAAUUAAACAAAAAAUUUUGUUAGAAGAAAAAAAACAAAGAAAGAAGCUAAAAAAUAAUCCCAAAAGGCAUAAAAAAACAGCUAAAAAAACAAUUUAAAAAAAAAACCUAAAGCAUCAGUGUUUUAGUGUGGACUGCAUUGUGCUGUCCACGGUAAAACACUGAUUCGUUUUAGUAUAUGUUACAAUUUAUAAAAUAUUUUAGUUUUUAAGUUUGAUUUUAUUCCUUUUUAUUUUCGGUUGGGAUCAUAUUAAACCAAUCAAAUUUUGUUUUUCAAAUUUUUCAUAUUAAAAUUAUCUAAUAAACUCAAAAUAAAUCAAACUAUCAAAAGAUGAGCUUACUUUCUCUUUUUUUCUUGUCUCGCACUUGUCUCUGUUUUCUCUUUUAAAAACCUUUGUUAUUUAAUAUCACAUGCAAGGUUUUUAAAACGAACAUUAUUGUACACAUAAGGUGAAAAUGACAGGGAAUUGACCUCUCCUCACUAUUAUUUUCCUGCUUUCGUAAAGUUUUUUAUAGCUCUAUAUUCUAUCUCGUGCUGAGAGUGUUUCCAAAAGCACUGAAACGUGUGGUGCUAAACGACAAGGCAGAAUAAGGUUAAAGGGAUCUAUUUUAAAAUUUUACUCUUAAGGUGUACAGUGGAAAUCGACUCUCCCUUGUUAAUUUCUAAAUUAACCAUCUGAAGAGGUUUUUUUCUUCUUGUAUAUUAUUGUUUUAAUAAAAACAAUAUAAAAGAAGAAAAGGAUAAAAGUAAAACCAGAGAAAGAUUAAGAAUACCAAGAGAGUGUGGGAUUGGUAAUGCAAUAUAAGAUUUUUUAAAAAAAAAAUUAUUUUUUUGUUAAAAAUAUAUUUAAAUAAUUUUGCAAACUAACUUCAUCAAGUUUUAAAAAGAAAAGGCAAAGAAAAACCAGCGAAUUGACCAUAUCAAAUAAAGUCGCGUACGAGAGAACCUUUAUUAUUAAUAUCACAUGCAAAGUUUUUAAAACAACAUUAUUGUACUCUUAAGGUGAAAAUGACAGGGAAUUGACCUCUCCUCACUAUUAUUUUCCUGCUUUCGUAAAGUUUUUUUUAGCUCUAUAUUCUAUCUCGUGCUGGGAGUGUUUCCAAAAGCACUGAAAUGUGUGGUGCUAAAAGACAAGGCAGAAUAAGGUUAAAGGGACCUAUUUAAAAAUUUUACUCUUAAGGUGUACAGUGGAAAUCGACUCUCCCUUGUUAAUUUCUAAAAUUAACCAUCUGAAGAGGUUUUUUUCUUCUUGUAUAUUAUUGUUUUAAUAAAAAUAAUACAAAAGAAGAAACGGAUAAAAGUAAAACCAGAGAAAGAUUAAGAAUACCAAGAGAGUGUGGGAUUGGUAAUGUAAUAUAAGAUGUUUUUUAAAAUUAUUUUUUUGUUUAAGAAUAUAUUUAAAUAGUUUUUUUAAUAUUUUACAUCAUAUAUUAGAAUCAUAAAAAAAAAUCACUAUGUAAACUAUUAUCAUUAUAUUUGUUUAUCAUUAUUUUUAUAUUAUAUUAUGCGCGUGCUAUCUUAAUUAUGUCAUCAAAUUGCAUUUUUUUUUAUGAGAAUUGCUGCUCUGACUCGUAAGUUAGAAUCCAUGUAAACUAUUUUGUUUUAACACUUCUCCUCUUUUCAACAUAAAGUCCUUUUUAUAAAUAUAUUCAUUAGAUUUGCCAUCUCUGUUGAAUAUUCUUGGCACAAACAGCUCAUAGCUAAGGGAAGCUCGGAUUUCAAACCAGUUUCCAUCCCAUUUUAUAGACCGAAUUCUUACAAUAUCUUCUUCAUCGAUCGAUAAACCGAUUCUGGAGGACCACAAUAUGAUGGUGUAUCUUAGAGCACCACAUCAAAAGAUAAGAAAUUCCUCGAAGAUCACCAUAAUAUCAUGGUGUGUAUCUUAGACAAGCGAAAAGCACUUGUCCCCGUUUUGCCUUUUAAACCUUCAAAGAUUUGUGUCCAGGGGGGCAUCAAGUUUUAAAAAGAAAAGGCAAAGAAAAACUGGCCCGACCACCAUUUCAAAAGAUAAGCUUACUUUCUUUCUUUUUCCCAUCUCUCACUUGUCCUUGUUUUGUAUUUUAAAAACUCUAAUUAAAUAUUAAAUUAACCAAAAAAAACUAAAUGAGAAGGGUUUUUUUAAUUAUACCCUUCCUCACAAAACACAACCUUCAACUCUAGUACUAUAGUUGAUGUGGUGGGUCAAUUAUUUCUAACCAAGGCAUAACAUUAUCAAAAUAAAUUAAUAAACCGUGAGGUGGUGAGGUGAUUUUAUGAUGGCACCAUUCACUAUGAAUCCUCUUACAUUUUAUUAUGAACGGUAGUAGUGAUUUUUUUCUUUUAAUGCUCAAACAUUUUUUUUCUUCUUAAUUUUAUUAUUUUGUGGUCAAAUUGAUGGCCAAUUGUUUUUGAUUUGUUAUGAAAGGGUAAGAUUAAAAGAUAGGGGACCAAAGAGAAAAGAACAAAAAAAAUAGGUGGCAGUUUCAAAAUUAACAUAAAAAGUUCACUUUGUUUGAAUUAACAUAAAAUAGGUGGCAGCUAUAUCUGCUGACUAGUUAUUCAUGGUGAAGUGAUAAUCUCUUCUUUUGUUCUACUGAAAUUCUUGAUGUUUAGGCUGGGAAUAAAUUUAGCUCCUCUUGUUUACCUAGAAAACUGAGGGAAAGUAGCUGAAAUAAUUUGAAACCAUUUAAGAUUUUUGUCAGUUUAGUUUAUUCGUUCACUUUCCUGUAGUUUCUGAGAUAGUACCAAACACAUUGUUAUGUGUUGAAUAAAUAAUUAACCACCGAUUAAAGCAGAAGGAACAUUUGUGUUUGAAUCCUGAGAAAAUUGAGUCGGAAAAUAAAGGGAAAUUUUUGCAUUUUAUGAAGUUUUUUUUCUUAGUUAUGAUGAUUUAUUUUUUUGGAGGCCCCUAAAAGUGGAAUAAUGGUCCCAAAAUUUACAAUGUUUUCCUGCAAUCAAACAGUGCUUUGGAAGAUAAUUGUUAGAAGAUAAAAUAAUUUGUUUUUUUAUUAAUGUAAAUCUGCUUUUCUCUAUAUCACAAUACUUUUAACGAAGUUUUUUGUUUUUUUGUUUAAGCCUUUUUUUUUUUAAUAUUUCAAUCUCUAAUAUUCUUUUGUACUUUCUUUCUAUGGGAUUUAUCUUUCUUUUUUAAAUAAUAAGGAUUGCCUCAAAGUUUUUUUUUUCUGUCUUUGUUAAAUUUUGCUUCUUUAAAAGGGAUUUUUUUUAAUUAAAUUAAUUUUUUUGAUUUCAUUCUCUUGCAUUUAAUUUGAGGCAAUACCUGAAAGAAUUUUGUUUCUCUAAUUAAUUUUUUUAAAAAAAUUAUAUUCUUUGUUUUUUUAUUUUUUUCUAUAGAGUUAUCCUGAUAUUAUAUCUUGGGUCAUAGAUUCAAUAGGUUUACCAAGGUUGAUUUAAGUUUUUUUUUUAAUUUCUUUUUAAUAUUUUUUUAUCUCAAGUCAAUGACUAAAAUCUUAAAUUUCAAAAAAUUGCAUUGUCAAUAGUGUUUUUUUUUACUUGGUUUUUUUUAAUCUAUAUUUUUUUUUUUAAUUUCAAACUUCAACAUUUAGUUUAUUGAAGACUGGGCUUCAUAAUUUAUUAUUGCUUGCUUUAUAUAUUGUUAGCUCAAUCUCUUUACACUAUAAACUAAAAGAGGUGAUAGAUUUACUAUUCACCACCUCACAAGACACAAUUCAUUUCAAUAGUUUUUUUUUAAAAAAAUCUAUAUUUCUUUAUUCCUUGAUUUCAUACUUCAACAUUUAGUUUAUUAUAGACUAGGCUUAAUAAUUUAUCAUGGUUUGUCUUAGUCUCAUAACUCGUAUUACGGGUUUAAUUGGUUAACUCAGUUUUUUUGUCUUUUUUAAUUGCUAUUUUUUCAAUUUCACCAUUCAACAUUGGAUUGAUUAUGAAUUAGACUUCAUUAUUUAUUUUGGUUUACUUUUUAUGAGGUUAUCUUGGUUUUAUGACUUAGGUUACGUGUUUUGUGAGUUAAGCCGUGUAGACUUGGGUCGUUUUAUUGUAUAAUGUUUUUAGAUUGAUUUUUUUUUAUUUCAACCUUUAACAAUAAAUUUAUUGAAAAUUGAGUUUCAUAAUUUAUUUUGAUUAACUUUCUACAGAAUUAUCAUAAUUUCAUGACCUUGGUCGCGGGUUUGGCAGGUUAACUUAGGUUGACUCAAGCUAUUUUUUGUUUACUUUUUAUGAGGUUAUCUGAGUUUCAUUACCCAGAUCAUAGGUUUGACGAAUUAACCUGAGUUGAAUAUGAUCCUUUUUUUUAAUUUUAUCCUUCAACAUUGAGUUUGCUUAUCCCGGGUCACGAGUUAACUCAGCUUUGUUUUGUCCAUUUUUUAGUUGGUUUUUUUUUUUCUCAAUUUCAUCCUUCAAUAUUUGGUUGGUUUGAAAUUAGACUUCAUAUUUUAUCUUAUUUUAUUUCUUUCUAUGAGAUUAUUCUAGUCUCAUUACUUGGGUCACGGGUUUGCUAAGUUAACUUGGGUUGUCGCAGGUCUUUUUUUUUUUAUCUUUUUUUAAUUAAUAUUUUUUUUCAAUUUCAUCCUUCAAUAUUUGAUUAAUUAGGGAUUAAGUUUCAUAAUUUGUUUUGAUUGCUUUUUAUGGGGUUAUAUUAGUCAUAUAACCCGGGUUGCAGUUUUGACAAGUGAACCCUAGGUGACUCGAGUUCUUUGUUUUUUUUUCUCUUUUUUAAUUGUUUUUUUUUUCAAUUUCAUCUUUCAAUAUUGGUUUAAUUGGGAAUUGGGUUUCAUAUUUGGUUUUUUUUUCAAUUUUGUUUUUAUUAGAAAGCACACUUAACAAAUAAUAAUUUAGUCUUGAUAAAACUAAUGAAUCAUUCCAUAGUUUCAAUAACAAUAUGUUUAAUUCUUAUAUUUUUAGUUAUAUAUAGUUUAGUACUAUCAAUUUCAAGUUCUUUCCCAUGUAUUUUUUCUUCUUCCUUCUUGAAAAAUAGAAAAGGAAAAGAGAAGCAGGCAGUUGGGGAAAUUUCAUUAGGAAGGAAGGUAUUUUAUAUAUAUAGUAAAUUGAGGGUGGUUAACACUAGUUAAUGGGAUGUUUCAUUAUUUAUGAUACUACAAGGACUAGAUAAUUAAUUUUAAUAAAUUACAGCGCUAAUUAGUUAUAAUUAAAUCUUCAUUGACAAAUAGGAUUUUAUUAUUUGUUUUUUGAAGGAGAAUAUGUACAUGCAACAAUCUUUACUGUUCCUUCAUUUAGGAAUAUAGAAUUCAAAUAUGGUUUUAAGAGUAUAUAUUUAUAGGGUACAAAUCUGUUUGUAUAAGCAAUAUUUUCAUAAAUUUAUCAAUUCUGCAGCUGGAAAAAAGAAAUAGACUCAAUAUUCCACCUGAGAAAACCGAUAAAAUGAAAGAAAAGAGAAUUCUUUCUUUAUCCAUUAGACCACAAAAAUUUACAUAUAACACAAUUUUAGUUAGAGCACUACAACUCAACUGUUAUAUUAUCUUAAUUAACAAAAAAUUCCAUCAUAUAAUAAGCUAUAGACUUAGCUGGGUUUUAAAAAACUCCUCUUUUACGUUUCUAUGUUUUCAUGAACAUUGAAAAAGGAGCCAUGGUUGACUUUCUAUCUGUUUCUUUCUUUUCUUGGAGGAGAAAGAGAGGAUUGCGCUACUUGUUUCUUUUCAUUUUCUUGAAAACCAAAUAGAAAGUUCUUGGUUGAUUUCUAGCCAAUAGUCUUUUUUCUCUUAUUAACUCGGUUUCUUUGGGUGCUGAUCGACUAGUUAUUUUUGUGAAGUAAUAAUCUAUUCUUUUAUUCUACUUAAAUUCUUGAUGUUUUUGGCAGGGAAUAAAUUUAGCUACUCUUAUUUACCAAGAAAAUUGAGGGAAAGUAAAAAAAAUAAUUUAAAACCAUUUAAGAUUUUUGUCAGAUUAGUUUAGUCUUUCCUGAAGUUUUUAAGGUCAAGGGAGUAGCCAAUCAAAAAGGAAGGAUUGCAAUGAAAAAUUCGGUACAGCUCUUUCAUUUCGCACUUGAGAGACAAUCUAUUGGUUGUAAUGAGGAGAUAUGGUUGAACAAGUGGCUACGAUCUAUUGGCUCAUCGGACUACCUUAUCUCCAAGUCACAGAUCCUUUCUCUUAAUUGGUUUUUUUUUUAAUUUGAAACUGUAAUUUGUUUCAAAGCUACAAAUACCUGGAUUUUUUUCUUCCUUUUCUUUCUUAUUUUCUUUCUUUCUUUUCUUUCCAUGGAGAAAGAGGAUUGUGCUACUUUUAUUUUCUUCAUUUUCAAAGCUACAAAUCAUGUUUGAGAGAAAGAAACAAGGUUUGUAAUAAAAUUACGUAGACUUACAUUUAUUAUAUACUAAGGAAAAAAAAUAUAUUUUUGUCUAAUUUGCUUUUUCCUGUUGAACAAGGAGGCAGAUCAUAAUUUCCCAAACUAUAGAUUGAAAAAAAAAAAAAAAAACAGACGAAAAGUAUAGGAGAUUUUUUUUUAUUAUACCUAAAAGUUAUUAAGGAAAGAAUAAAAAUUCAACAAUAGUGUACCAAAGUAUAAAAUAAAAAGAAAUCCAAUAAUCAAUCUUAAAUUUGUUAAAAAAUGUUAUGUUUAGUUCACGUAUUUUUUUUUAUUCUACAGUUCCUUUAGUUUUUACAAUUUUAAUUUUAGUUCAAAAUUUUAUUUUUUUAACAUUUUAAAUCCUUGAGUUUAAAAAAUAAGAGAGAAAGUCGUUUGAAAACAAUGAAAAAAAAGGUGAAGUUUGUGAAUAAGAACUUUUUCAAAAUAAAACUCAUCGUUUUUUGUAUCAACGAGUUUUAUUAUACGAGAGAAGCUUGAUAGUGGUAGUUUAUUUCUAUAAACAAGCCUGAAAAAUAUAUUGAGUUUCAUUUAGAUUUUUUUAUUUGGUUUUUUUUUUAUUUUUUGAAUGAUUUUGGGAUUUUAUUUUUAAUAUAUAAAAUCCCAUUAUUUCCUUGCUUUCGUCAGGACCGCUGAAAUAAGGUAAAGUUUUUUUUAGCAAGAACAUGAUUUUAUGGCCUCAAUCAGAGAGGUAAUGUGUGGUGCUAAAAGACAAGGCAGAAUAAGGUGUAUAGUGGAAAUAGACUCUCCCUAGUCCCUAGUUAAUUUCUAUAUUUCCAUCAAACCUAUUUUAGGGUUUGAACUUGAACCAUCUGAAGAGGUUUUUUUUUCUUGUAUAUUAUUGCUUUAAUAAAGAUAACAAAAAAGAAAAGAAAAGGAUAAAAGUAAAACCAGAGAAAGAUUAAGAAUGCCAAAUGAGUGUGGGAUUGAUAUUGUAAUAUAAGAUGUUUUUUUAAAAAUAUUAAUUUAAAAUAAAUAAAUAAAUAAAUAAAAUUUAAUUUUUUAAAAAAAUACUUGUAAAAUAUCUAAGUAAUCAUUCAAAUUAUUUUAUUUUCUUAAAAGAAAAAAAAAGUCGCGUACGAGAGAACCUUUGUUAUUAAUAUCACGUGCAAACUUCUUAAAACAUUAUUGAAAUCAUUAUAUAUUGACCAUUAUAUUAUUGUCCUCGUGAAAAUGACAUCUUCUCACCAUUAUUAGAAGAACAGGAGAGUGUUUUGAAAAGCGGGGACAGAGUGAGAAACAAGAACAUGAUUUUAAGGCACGUGGUCAGUUAUUGAUAUAUUAAAAUCAUAAAAAAAAUAUUAAUUUAAUAUAUUUUCAAACAAAACUCAUUCAAAUUCAAUUAAAAAAACAUUAGAAAAAAAAAAUGUAAGGAGGAGAUAAGGUUGAACAAGUGACGAUAAUCUAUUGAAUUCUCGGAUUACCUUAUUUUCAUGUCACAGGUCCUUUCUCUUAAUUGUUUUCUAAAUUUGAAACUGUAAUUUGUAAUUGUAAUAUGCGAGGGUAAUCACAGCAACUCAAGAGAAAAACAACACCCUAUUAAAUCAAAUUAAAAAAAAAAAACAAUUUGAAACAUCGAAGGGUGAAAUAGAAAAAAUAAAAGGACUGAAAUGAAAUAAAACCUUGGUGGAUGCUAUCAAUAGCCUUGUUCUUUUAGCUUUCUGUAUGAUGUAAUGGGCAGGUCUUAUUACUUGAGUGUGUGAUGCAAGAGAUAGUCAUUGCAGAUUUUAGUUGCCUAAGUUUGAUCCUUUGUGGAGUUCCUUGUAAGUCUCUUUUUUUUUCUCUCCUUAUUCAUAAUUUUCGAGAAAAAAAAACAUUUACCGAUCAUAGCUUUAGAUUAAUGUGUUAUUGGAAGCAAAGAGGAGCUAGUAUCAUGCGUGCAGGUGUCAAAGUGAUCUUCAUCAGCCUUCCAUUCCUUUCUCUCUUUGCUAGGUGAGUACUUGUACAUAUUAUUCUUUUAUUUGUUUGUCAUUAUCUUUAUAUUAUGCUUUUUAUCUUAAUUAUGUCAUAAAUUUGCAUUUUUGUGGGAAUUGCUGCUUUAAACUCUUAAGUGUAAACUAUUUUGUUUCAAUGUAUUCUUUAGAUCGGUGGUAUGCUAUCUUUCACUAAUGAAAUUCUGUUUAUUGGUUUUGAGAAGGAAAAAAAAAAGUAUUUCUAUCUUUGUUUUAUGGAAAAAGCACAUAGAUCUAUGAAAUAGAUAUAUAUUAAAAAAAAGGAUAGAUUAGAUAUUCCCAUUACUCAUGGCAUAGAUAGAGAUAGUCAUUACAGAUUUUAGUUGCCUAAGAUUGAUCCUUUGUUGAGUUCGUUCCUUGCAAGUCUUUUUUUCUCCUCAUGCAGACUAUCUUAAUUAUGUCAUCAAAUUGCAUUUUUUUUAUGGGAAUUGCUGCUCUAACUCGCAAGUUAGAAUCCAUGUAUACUAUUUUGUUUUAAUACUUCUCCUCUUUUCAACAUAAAGUCCUUCUUUUAUAAAUAUAUUCAUUAGAUUGAUGAUAUGCUAUCUUUUCUUUUUAUUUGUUUUGAGAAAGAAAAAAAAAAGUAUUUCUAUCUUUUUUAUGGAAAAGCACAGAGAUCUAAGAACUAUUGUGUAAAUAAUUGUUAGGGUAAGUGUGAAUUUUAACACGUGGCAUGGAUAGCUAUUGAUGAGGGGACAAAGGGAUUACAAUGAUCUAUGAACUAUUGUGUAAAUAAUUGUUAUGUUAGGACAAGGAAUUAAAUGUUUAUCGUUCUGCUUAUACCUUGCCUUGUUGCUCUUGAAGCUGGCUUCCAUACAGAGCUAAAGGCCUUCUCCUUUUGUUCCUCUCGCUAUAUUUUAUUAUUGAGCAGUCAGUACCAGUGCUUUCCGCAUAUAUUUUCACAAAUUAAGGUAAUAAAAUUACUAUUCUUAUUCUCUCAAUGCCUAUUUUACUUGUAAUGACUCACUCUCACGUUCUGUAUCCUUAUUUCUUUGUUUUUCAGACCGGUGGAAAAUGGCUAUCGAAAGUGUUGGUGGAUCCGUUGUAUCCAAGAUAGCAGAGCUCUUGGUGGAACCAGCAAUAAGGCAGUUCCGUUACAUGUUCUGUUUCAACAAUUUUGUUCAAGAAUUCAAUGAACACAAGAAGAACCUGGCUUUGACACUAGAUCGUCUACAAAAUGAUGUCCGAGAUGCUGAAAGGAAUGCUGAAGAAAUUUACAAAUAUGUCAGUAAAUGGCUGGAAGAUGCAAACAACGAAAUUGAAGGUGUGAAUCCUUUGGAAAAUGAAAUAGAAAAAAAUGGCAAAUGCUUCACUUGGUGUCCAAAUUGGACGCGACAAUUCAAGUUAAGCAAGGCACUGGCAAAGAAAACGGAGACUUUGAGAAAACUUGAAGAAAAUGGCAGAAAGUUUCCAAAAGUGUCCUACAAACCACCUCUUCAAGGCAUAGAAUUUCUUCCAUCAGAGGAAGUCACGCCUUCAGAAUCGUCAAAAGCAGCUUUCGAACAGAUUAUGAAAGCUCUCAAAGAUGACAAUGUCAAUAUGAUCGGACUGUACGGCAUGGGAGGGGUGGGUAAAACCACUCUAGUGAAAGAAGUAGGAAGGAGAGCCAAAGAGUCGCAGCUGUUUGAUGAAGUUGUGAUGGCUACACUGUCCCAGAAUCCAAAGGUCACAGGCAUCCAGGAUCAAAUGGCAGAUAGUUUAGGUCUGAAAUUUGACGAGAACAGUGAAGGAGGGAGAGCAGGUCGGUUAUGGCAGAGACUGCAGGGAAAGAAGAUGCUUAUAGUCCUGGAUGAUGUUUGGAAAGAUAUUGACUUCCAAGAGAUAGGGAUCCCAUUUGGUGAUGAUCACAGGGGUUGUAAAAUUCUUCUAACAACACGUCUUCAAGACAUAUGUUCUUAUAUGGAGUGCCAGCCACAAGUGUUCUUAAAUAUCUUAACAGAAAAUGAAGCAUGGGCUUUAUUCAAAAUCCAUGCAGGUUUACGUGAUGAGGACUCUGACUUGAACAGAGUGGCAAAGGACGUUGCGAGAGAAUGCCAAGGCUUGCCUAUAGCACUUGUGGCAGUGGGAAAGGCUCUAAAAGAUAAAUCUGAACAUGAGUGGGAAGUAGCAUCUGAAGAGCUCAAAAAAUCUCAAUCUCGGCACGUGGAAAAUUUUGAUGACCGAAGAAAUGCAUAUGCAUGUCUUAAAUUGAGCUAUGAUUAUUUGAAGCACGAGAAAACCAAGUUAUGUUUCUUGCUAUGCUGUUUAUUUCCAGAAGAUUACAACAUUCCAAUCGAGGAGUUGACGAGAUGUGCAGUUGGCUACGGGUAUCAAGAUGUGAAGUCCAUUGAAGGUGCAAGGAAACGAGUUUAUAUGGAAAUCGAAAACCUCAAAGCUUGUUGUAUGCUGUUAGGAACUGAAACUGAAGAAUAUGUGAAAAUGCAUGACUUGGUUCGUGAUGUUGCUAUUCAGAUAGCAUCAUCAGAAAAAUACGGAUUCAUGGUAGAGGCUGGCUUUGGGUUGAAGGAGUGGCCAAUGAGGAAUAAAAGCUUUGAAGGUUGUAAAGUAAUCUCGUUAAUGGGCAAUAAACUAACAGAUCUUCCUGAAGGAUUGGUGUGUCCACAGCUCAAAGUUCUAUUAUUAGAACUGGAUCGUGGUUUGAAUGUUCCAGAGAGGUUUUUUGAAGGGAUGAAAGCAAUAGAAGUUUUGUCUCUAAAAGGAGGGUGUUUGUCAUUGCAAUCACUUCAAUUCUCAACGAACCUUCAGUCGUUGCUGUUGAGAUGGUGUGAAUGCAAGGACCUCAUUUGGUUGAGAAAGCUGCAAAGACUUGAGAUUCUUGGUUUCAUUUGGUGCGGCUCCGUUGAAGAAUUACCUAAUGAAAUUGGGGAGCUCAAGGAGUUAAGGUUGUUGGAUGUGACAGGUUGUGGAUUGCUAAGAAGGAUUCCUGUGAAUUUGAUUGGAAGGUUGAAGAAGUUAGAAGAGCUGUUGAUCGGGGCUACGAGCUUCAACAGAUGGGAUGUUGUUGGAUGUGACAGCGCAGAAGGAAUGAAUGCAAGCCUAACAGAACUAAGUUCGCUGUCUCAUUUAGCUGUAUUAUCAUUGAAGAUACCGAAGGUUGAAUGCAUUCCCAGAGAUUUUGUUUUUCCCAGGUUGCUCAAAUAUGAUAUAGUGUUAGGGGAUGGGUAUUCGGAAGGAGUAUACCCAACAAAAUUAUAUUUGGGUAAUAUCAGCACCGCAUCCUUAAAUGCAAAGACAUUUGAGCAAUUGUUUCCUACUGUGUCUCUAAUUGAUUUUAGAAACAUUGAGGGUUUAGAAAAUAUAGUAGAGUCGCAAAAGGACUUCUUUCAAAGAUUAGAACAUGUAGAAGUGACAGGAUGUGGGGAUAUUCGCACUCUGUUUCCAGCAAAAUGGCGGCAAGCUUUGAAAAAACUAAGGAGCGUGGAAAUUAAAAGAUGCGAUUCAUUGGAAGAAGUAUUUGAAUUGGAUGAGGAGAAAGAGCUGCUGUCAUCUUUAACAACGUUACGGUUGUCAGAUUUACCUGAGCUCAAAUGUAUAUGGAAGGGGCCCACCAGACAUGUCAGCCUCCACAGUCUUGUUCAUCUGAAGUUGUUGUGUCUUGACAAACUGACAUUUAUAUUCACACCGUCCCUUGCUCAAAGUCUUAUUCAUAUGGAAACACUUGAGAUAGGAUUUUGCCGUGGAUUGAAGCGUCUUAUCAGAGAGAAGGAUGACGAAGGGGAAAUAAUUCCAGAGUCUCUUGGCUUCCCAAAAUUAAAAAAACUCUAUAUAUUUGUUUGUGAUAAACUGGAAUAUGUUUUCCCUGUCUCCGUGUCUCCAAGUCUUCAGAACCUGGAAGAGAUGAAGAUUGUUUUUGCUGACAAUUUAAAGCAAGUAUUUUACAGUGGAGAAGGAGAUGACAUCAUCGUCAAGUCUAAAAUUAAAGAUGGCAUCAUCGACUUCCCUCAGCUAAGAAAAUUGUCUCUUUCAAAGUGCAGCUUUUUUGGUCCAAAGGAUUUUGCUGCCCAAUUGCCUUCUUUGCAAGAGUUAACCAUUUAUGGCCACGAAGAAGGGGGUAAUUUGUUGGCACAGCUUCGAGUACGUCCAUUCUAUUUCUCCAUUUUUUUUUCUUUUUCUAAUUGAAAUUGUCAACUUCAAUACAUUGUGAUAAUUUGUUCUAUCUUCCUCCAAAUUUCUAAAACUAAAGUAAUUGAUAAGUUCUUUAACCAUCCACUGAAUUUAAUUGAUGAUUUAAAUUGGCUUAGGAAGUUCUUUAAUUUUUUUGAGUUAAAGUAUAAUUUUUCGUGAUUGCUUUUAAUUUAACUAAUAUAAAGUAAUAGUUUGUAUUCAGAUUAUCAUAAAUAUGAAAAAAUAUGAUUUUAUAUUCCCAUGACCCGGUGCCUUGUCUAUCUAUAUUUUCUUAAAAAAUAUGAAAAUUUUUUUUACUAAUCUGUAAAAUUCAAAAUAUUUUCUUUUAUAUUUUUAUUUUUGGACAAUGUCAUAAUUUUUUUUUAUUAUAAAUCGAAUAUAAUUUUUUUUUUUUUAGUUAAUAAGUAUAAUUUUUUCAUGAUUGCUUUUAAUUUAACUAAUAUAAAAUAAUAGUUUAUAUUUAGAUUAUCAUAAAUAUGAAAAAAAAAAUAUCAUUUUAUAUUCCCAUGACCUGUUGCCCUGUCUAUUUAUAUCUUCUUGUUGAUAAUUGGUUGAUCUAUUUAACAAAAUUAUAUAAUAGUUCCAAAGUGCACAAAAAUUACUAGGAAUUAUAUCUAACAAAUUGGUACCUUUUGAUGCAGGGGUUUACAAGUUUGGAAACAUUAACUUUGUCCUACGUGCUUGUGCCUGACUUGAGGUGUAUAUGGAAGGACCUCAUGCCGAGCCAUUUGACUUCUUUGACGGUGUAUAGCUGUAAGAGACUGACACGUGUAUUCACACAUAGCAUGAUUGCUAGUCUUGUUCAACUGCAAGUUCUAGAGAUAUCAAAUUGUGAGGAAUUGGAGCAAAUCAUUGCUAAGGAUAAUGAUGAUGAAAAUGAUCAGAUAUUGUCAGGAAGUGAUCUCCAAUCUUCAUGCUUCCCUAAUCUGUGGCGACUUGAGAUCAGAGGAUGCAACAAGUUGAAGAGUCUCUUCCCAGUAGCCAUGGCUUCAGGUCUCAAAAAGCUCCGAAUACUUAGAGUAAGAAAAUCCUCUCAAUUAUUGGGAGUAUUUGGACAGGAUGAUCAUGCUUCACCUGCCAAUAUUGAGAAGGAGAUGGUGCUCCCUGAUCUGCAGGAGUUGUUGCUUGUACAAUUACCAAGUAUUUCCUCCUUUAGUCUCGGAUGUUCUAAUUUCUUGUUCCCUCAUUUGAAGAAGUUGGAGGUGGAUGGAUGCCCGAAGCUGACCACAAAAUCUGCUACUACAUCAAAUGACUCAAUGAGUGCUCAAUCAAAGGUACUCCUGAUUUGACUUGAUUUCUUGCCUCUCGUUUAGUUUUAAAAGUGCACAAUAAUUACUAGGAAUUACAUCUAACAAAUCGGUACCCUUGUUUUCUUUUGAUGCAGGCGUUUAUGAAUUUGAAAGAAAUAUCUAUUGGAAACUUGGAAGGAGUACAAGAUUUAAUGCAAGUUGGACGUUUGGUAACUAAUAGAAGAGGUGGGCAUGAACUUUCACUCGUGAGUUUGGAAACAUUAUGCUUGAACUUAUUGCCAGACUUGAGGUGUAUAUGGAAGGGUCUCGUUCCGAGCAAUUUGACUACUUUGAAGGUGAAAGAGUGCAAGAGACUGACACAUGUAUUCACAGACAGCAUGAUUGCUAGUCUAAUUCAACUUCAAGUUCUAGAGAUAUCAAAUUGUGAGGAAUUGGAGCAAAUCAUUGCUAAGGAUAAUGAUGAUGAAAAUGAUCAGAUAUUGUCAGGAAGUGAUCUCCAAUCUUCAUGCUUCCCUAAUCUGUGGCGACUUGAGAUCAGAGGAUGCAACAAGUUGAAGAGUCUCUUCCCAGUAGCCAUGGCUUCAGGUCUCAAAAAGCUCCGAAUACUUAGAGUAAGAAAAUCCUCUCAAUUAUUGGGAGUAUUUGGACAGGAUGAUCAUGCUUCACCUGCCAAUAUUGAGAAGGAGAUGGUGCUCCCUGAUCUGCAGGAGUUGUUGCUUGUACAAUUACCAAGUAUUUCCUCCUUUAGUCUCGGAUGUUCUAAUUUCUUGUUCCCUCAUUUGAAGAAGUUGGAGGUGGAUGGAUGCCCGAAGCUGACCACAAAAUCUGCUACUACAUCAAAUGACUCAAUGAGUGCUCAAUCAAAGGUACUCCUGAUUUGACUUGAUUUCUUGCCUCUCGUUUAGUUUUAAAAGUGCACAAUAAUUACUAGGAAUUACAUCUAACAAAUCGGUACCCUUGUUUUCUUUUGAUGCAGGCGUUUAUGAAUUUGAAAGAAAUAUCUAUUGGAAACUUGGAAGGAGUACAAGAUUUAAUGCAAGUUGGACGUUUGGUAACUAAUAGAAGAGGUGGGCAUGAACUUUCACUCGUGAGUUUGGAAACAUUAUGCUUGAACUUAUUGCCAGACUUGAGGUGUAUAUGGAAGGGUCUCGUUCCGAGCAAUUUGACUACUUUGAAGGUGAAAGACUGCAAGAGACUGACACAUGUAUUCACAGACAGCAUGAUUGCUAGUCUAAUUCAACUUCAAGUUCUAGAGAUAUCAAAUUGUGAGGAUUGGNNNNNNNNNNNNNNNNNNNNNNNNNNNNNNNNNNNNNNNNNNNNNNNNNNNNNNNNNNNNNNNNNNNNNNNNNNNNNNNNNNNNNNNNNNNNNNNNNNNNNNNNNNNNNNNNNNNNNNNNNNNNNNNNNNNNNNNNNNNNNNNNNNNNNNNNNNNNNNNNNNNNNNNNNNNNNNNNNNNNNNNNNNNNNNNNNNNNNNNNNNNNNNNNNNNNNNNNNNNNNNNNNNNNNNNNNNNNNNNNNNNNNNNNNNNNNNNNNNNNNNNNNNNNNNNNNNNNNNNNNNNNNNNNNNNNNNNNNNNNNNNNNNNNNNNNNNNNNNNNNNNNNNNNNNNNNNNNNNNNNNNNNNNNNNNNNNNNNNNNNNNNNNNNNNNNNNNNNNNNNNNNNNNNNNNNNNNNNNNNNNNNNNNNNNNNNNNNNNNNNNNNNNNNNNNNNNNNNNNNNNNNNNNNNNNNNNNNNNNNNNNNNNNNNNNNNNNNNNNNNNNNNNNNNNNNNNNNNNNNNNNNNNNNNNNNNNNNNNNNNNNNNNNNNNNNNNNNNNNNNNNNNNNNNNNNNNNNNNNNNNNNNNNNNNNNNNNNNNNNNNNNNNNNNNNNNNNNNNNNNNNNNNNNNNNNNNNNNNNNNNNNNNNNNNNNNNNNNNNNNNNNNNNNNNNNNNNNNNNNNNNNNNNNNNNNNNNNNNNNNNNNNNNNNNNNNNNNNNNNNNNNNNNNNNNNNNNNNNNNNNNNNNNNNNNNNNNNNNNNNNNNNNNNNNNNNNNNNNNNNNNNNNNNNNNNNNNNNNNNNNNNNNNNNNNNNNNNNNNNNNNNNNNNNNNNNNNNNNNNNNNNNNNNNNNNNNNNNNNNNNNNNNNNNNNNNNNNNNNNNNNNNNNNNNNNNNNNNNNNNNNNNNNNNNNNNNNNNNNNNNNNNNNNNNNNNNNNNNNNNNNNNNNNNNNNNNNNNNNNNNNNNNNNNNNNNNNNNNNNNNNNNNNNNNNNNNNNNNNNNNNNNNNNNNNNNNNNNNNNNNNNNNNNNNNNNNNNNNNNNNNNNNNNNNNNNNNNNNNNNNNNNNNNNNNNNNNNNNNNNNNNNNNNNNNNNNNNNNNNNNNNNNNNNNNNNNNNNNNNNNNNNNNNNNGUGUCGUUGGGCAUUAUCAGAUUCAUGAGUGGCUCAAUCAGAGGUGCUGUAUAUUUGACAUGAUUUCUUGCCUCUCUUUCAGUGUUUUUAUUUCUUGUUUCCCUCACUAAUAAGACUUACAAGUUAGAAUGUGUAUGCCAUGCUUGAAUUGGUUUUGCAGGUAUCUCAAGUAGCUGAGGGUUCCAGCACUGGUUGCUCCGUGCCAACCAGCACUGCUAGAAGUUGGACCCGAAGAAAUGGGUGGAAAGAGGAAAAAGAGGAAGAGGAUGGAGUCAGAUGAUUAGUUUGGCAUUGGAAUUUGAAAAACAUGGUAGUAAUUCAUUCUUGCAGGUAAAAUGGCUGCAACUAUUUAUCUUCUAUCCUUGUUUAAAUGGUUGGAUUAAAUCAACAAAUACGAGAUGCCUGGAUGAUCUUUGUUCUUGAUGUUUGCAUUAGGUUGGUUGGUUACCUAUGUGAUGAUCAACUCGACAUUGGUGGGAAGUAAUUCCAGCUGUUUCAUUAGCUACAACAAUUUGUCUUAUUUCAUGUGUUUGUUGUGUGAACUUCCAGAAAUAAGGGUAAUGUUAUGUGUUUAGUAAUUUAUUGUACGAACCUUCAAAAACGAAAGGCAUAAUGUUUACUCAUUUGUGUGCUUAUUGUUUAAUGUGUGGAUUCUUAUUCUCCUCAUUUUGAUGUUCUAUUUCUAUUACGGAUUCUUUAUGUGGUAAGAUUAUAUAAAAUAAUAAAUCAAAAAGCAUCAAUGAAAAAUAAAUCACCUCAUGGUGAUUAACCUCCUAAGGGACAAAGUUAGCACAAUGGUGAACUACAUGGAAGAUUAUUCAAGGGCUUCAUCCUUGUGGUGAACUACAUGAUAAAUCGGCUAUAAAUUACAAAAUCAAAAUAACCUCAGCCAACAUUGAUUACUCCAAAUUAAUUUUAAAAUUCGAUUUAUUUGACUUAAUAAAAAAUAUUAAUCUGAAUUGCUUCCUAUAAAAAAUAUGUGAGCAGAGUAUUUCAUGAAACCUAAUAAAAAUAAGAUUCUUCUUCAAUUUUUUAUUUAUCAUCAUUUGUAAAUCUUGAUAGAAAAAAUGAGGAAUGUAUUUCUCAUGCCUCCAAACCUCAUCACUCCUAUAUUUGUUUAUUAUAUUCUAAAAUACUAAAUAAGCACAACCUAAUUUUUAAAUCUGAAUUUCUUAAAAGCAUUUAAUUAUCACAACAUAGGAAUAAAAGUUUUUAAAAAAACACUGAACAGGCCUACCCAACACAUAAGCAAAUUUGUGCUCCAAAUGACAAAAUAAAAGCGCAUUCCAAACUAUCAAGUCAAGUACUGAACCUUUUUAAAAUUGCUUUUUUUUUCAAAUAUUUCUUUUUGUCUAAUUAUAUUUAUUUUUUAUUUUUUUAUUAACAUGAGUGUCCAGACCAGCUUGCAUGCAUUUCGACUAAUCCCAUAAAUUUUAAAAUUAACGAUCAUGUAAGUCUCUAGUGAUUCUAAAAUUUUUAAAAUUUAAAUUAAUAAUUUUUAAAAAAUAAAUUCAAAAUCUGAUAAUUUUAUCCCAUUAUUACAUUCAAUGAUUGGUUGAUUGGAUUAUUAAAUUCAUUGAUCGGAUGAUUGGAUGUUCGAAUUUCAUUUACUUUUGGCAUUACACAAAAACAUCCCUUUCAAGUUACAAAACGACGUGCAGCUCAAUCAAUGCCUUCAUUGCCUACAGCCUUCAAAAAAUCAACUCCUUGGUUAGUUUCGUCCUUGGCUCGCUUGGAGCGACAGCCACAUUAAAUGAUAGCCACCGAAAUGUUUGACAUGUGGCACUUGAGUUUAAGAAACCAUUAAUGCCUGGUCUUGUUUUAGAUUGACACGUGUACGCCAGGGCCGUUGCCAUAGUUAAUUGUCCAAGGUUGAGUUAAGAUUUCCUCGCCGUAAUUGCUUGAUGUUGACGUGGCUCAUUAAAUGAAGACAUUGUCGUCAGCAUUGGACCGCCUCUUUUAUGCGAGUCAGCUUGGUUAUAGCAAAAAAAUAUAAAUAUGCUUAGUUAAGAUAAUUUUAUAAUGAAUUUUUAUUAUUUAAAAACAAGAAAGGUAACGGAGCAUGUUCUCUCUGUUUUAAUUAACAAAUGUUAUCUAAAAAAUUAAGAUGUGAAUUUAUUAAUAUUCUCGUACCUUUUAAGAACUAUAUGAAUUUAUAUUUAUUUUCUUAAAUUAAAGUUUAUGAAAAAAAAUUGAGUUAUGGAUAUCUAAAUUAUUAUGGUAUACCUUCCCUGCAGACUGUAAGGAAACUCCAAUUCAUCAACAAUAUUAUUCGACUACAGCCAAAAAACAAGAACACUCAGUCUUCUAAACUAAAAAAUAAAAGAUUUAUGUUUCGUGACUACUGAAAAAUAUGUAUUUAAUCGAAAUGAUUACCAGAAGCAUAAAUUCUGUACAAAAACUGAAUUGCCACUGCUGUUGGGUAUCAAUAUAUACUAUAUAGAAAAAAAUAGAUAUGUAAAAAAGAAGAAAAAUACUCUACUUAUUAAAAGUGAUAAAUUAUUUUUGUCUUUUUGAAAAAAAAACAUUUUCUUCCUAAUUUAUUGAUAAAAUUAUAAUGAGGUUGUUUUUUAUAAUGUUUUUUUAUAUAAUUAUAUCAAAAUAAUACAUAUUUUUUAUUUUUUAAAAUUUAUUUUUGGUAUCAUUAUAUUAAAAAAAUAAAAAAUAAAAUAAUAAUUUUCACCUACUAACUAGACGGUGUUUUUUUUUUUAUUAAUAUUGCUAAUCAGGUCAGCUUGCUAGUACUUUAAUUAAUCUCACGAAUUCUAAAGUUAAUAACUAUAUAAGCCUCUAAUGAUCCUGAUGUUUAUAAAACUUGAAUUAAUAACUUUUAAAAAACUAACUUAAAAUCUGAAUAGUUGAAUUAUACCCAUCAAGAUUCCAGUCUCUAAGUUAAACUAAGAAGCUAGCUUGGCCAACACUUGAAAAUGUUAAAUAAAUAAGGAUAAAAUAGACUUUUCAGUAUAUUAUAUCAGUAAUUUACUGGCUGGUCGUGGUGACUCACAAGGUCUUUGGUGAUGAGAGAGAUGAAUAAAGAAGAAGCAGAGGUCUCAUUGGGGACCCAGUGGGGGAAUUAAGUUUCACUCUCAUGAUAUGCGCGUGCGUCGAACGCACAAUUCUUUGUCUUAUUUUAAAAGAUCUAUACGCGUGAAACACACGAGUAGGUAGAUGGUUGAAGAUUAUUACGAAAGUAGACACAUCUCUGUCAUAAAAGAUUGUAGUCAUAGUACAAAUAUUUCGGGAAUUUCAUCAUUGCCGGCAUUAAUGAUCUCAUUUACUCAUAAGUUCCAGACUUGAUGAGAGUUCUGACCGGUCAAUGAUUAUUCGUCGUGUUAAUCUUUUAAAUUGAUAUCGGAAUAAUUUUUUUAAUUUUAUAUUUAUGGAAAAAGAGUAAAAAAAUUUUAAAUUGAAUUUUUUUAUAGUUUUAUAAAAAAAUAAACUGAAAUAUAACUUAUUAAUAUUUUUAAAAAUUUAUUAAAAAAAACCAUAACUGAAAAAUAAAAAAAAUAAAAAAUGAUAAAAUUUAAAAAAUAUUAUAAUUUUAUAAAUUAUUUAAAAUAAAAUAAAUAACUAUUAAAGGAAUAAAAAUCAAAUAUAGUAGAUAAAAAAUUUAAUUAAAAAAAUAAUAAGAUAAAAAUAAAUAACAAUAAAAAAAUAAGAAUCCAAGUUGAUAUAAAAAUUAAACCAAAUCAAAAUUUAAAGGAUAAAAUUUAAAAAUAAAAAAAAUUUAAAAGAUUAAAUAUUAGAUUUAAUAUAAUCUACAAAUAACAUGAUUUCUUUUUAAUUUCUUAAAAUUUUUAAAAGUAUAAUAUGUAAAAAUUAAAAGAAAAAUACUAUUCUAAAAACAAAUCAAAUUUUUUGUGUGAAAAGUAUUUUUUAUCAAUUUUUUAAUAAUAAAUAAGCAUGAAAAAAUUUAAAAUAUAUAUUGUUUUUAAUUACUAACCUAUCCCAGAUAGGUUUUAAAAAAAUCACAUGAAAGUUAACUCUACGAAACAAAAUCUGUUUGAUUUUAAUUAUUUUAAUUAACCUAAGUUAAUUUAUCAGAUCCAUGUACUGAAUUCACUCAAUCGAGUUUAAUAACAUUUAUUGAAAUUUGUUUCUUCUAAGUUAGGGAAUCAAUCAACCUAAGCACACAAUUCUGCAAGGAGAGAGGCCCAUUUCCUCAAGAGUAAUGAAAGUUGGAAAUAUAAUAAAGGCUCAAAGUGAAAAAGUCCCACUUGAACUGAACCUAGUCGUAUGCUUUGGAUUCCUUGAAAACCCAUAUGAUUUAGGUGUCAAGAUAAAUGAAAAUUUCUUGCUUUUUUUUCUUCUCUCUCUCUCUUAUGAAUAUGGAUUCCUCGAAACCCCAUAUUUAUGUUAUUAUUGGAAAUUCGAACUCUACGAAAAAAAAACUAUAAGAUAUGAUCGGUUUGGACGAGGAUGACUUGAUUUGAAAAAGAAUUAAUUAUGAUAAGUGAAAGAUGUCUUAAGAGUACUCUAAUCCAUACUUUUUUUUUAUUGGGGCCCCUUGUGUUUUUUUAUUUAUAAUUGAUUGAGAGUCCCUCUACUCUUUAUUUUGUUUUGUAAUAGUCCUUCCAUCAUAAAUAAAGACCCAUAUUUUUUGCUCAAGGAGUGACUUGUCUAUGAAUUUUAAAAUUAUAGCAUAGUUAUUAAACAUGAUUUAAUGCGUUGAACUUUUAAAUUAAAAUUUAUUCAUAGUCAUUAAUUUAAACAUGAUUUAAAAUUAUAGCAUAGUCACUGCCUAGAAGAUGCAUAUUUAACAAUUAUCAACUGAUAGAGGAAGCCUAUAUCCAAACCAAUCGCACAUCCUUUCGUCCUCCAAUUUCCUUCUAUUUUUUUUUAUGUACACAAUUAACAUAUCCUCAAUUACCCUUUUGAUUUUUAUAUUUUUUGUUGUGAACAAAAUUAAACAGUCAGAAGAAAAUCCAGACCCCUUUUUUUUAAUGAAUUAAUUAUGUGAAUAAAAUUUAUAAAAGAGGUUGAGGAGGGCAUGAACAGCACUAGCUAGAAGUCAAUGUAUCAAUGUUGAUACUCCUCAAAAAGUCAAUGCUGGUGGAGUUGGCAGCAAAAAUAAAUAAUAAUAAUAAUAAUAAUAACAACAAAAUAAUUGAGGAGCUACAAGCUAGAGAGCCAAACGAAAUUGCCAAAGACGAGUAGCUAGUAUGCGGUGUCGUGAUGAUCGUUUAUUCUGGUAUGUAUUUGAAAAAUAGGUAAGAUAAAAAAAUUUUAUUUUUUAUCAGUGAAAAGAAAGAAUGAUAAUUGUCACUUAAUAUUUUGAUUACUAGAAAUCUUAACUGGUCUUAGAGAUCGGGCAUGGAAACUGGUUGCAUAAAGACAAUGUAUUAGCACCCCAAAUACGUCAUACUAAGGUAAGAUGCAUUAUUUAAUUGUCUGAUAUAAACUAAGAUAUUGUCGUGUUUUCUAAUGAUUGGUCCGUUUAAGGUUUAAAAAAAGUCAUUCUCGGUAAGACGAUUCUUAUCUUAUCGAGUAAAAUCUAACCAUUCUAAUAUCAACAAAAAGAAAAACUAACUCUUAUUUAAUAUUAGAAAUACGUCUUACGUAUAAGUUUGUAAUCUCAAAUAUUAAAAGAAAACACAAUAAUUUUUUUGUAUUUUUGAAAUAUUGGCUUAAUUCUCAUGACUUUAAUAAACUGGCUAUUAAAACUCAAAAUGCAUGCUAAUACAUAUUUUUUGAAUUUUUAAAAUUCUCAGUUUUCUCCAAAAUGUUGCAAAAAAAUAUAUAUAUAUCUUGUUUUCAUGCAUACGACUAAAAAAGAUAAGAAAUUUCAUAUUGUAUUUUCAUACUAAAAAAAAUAUCAAAUUUGUAUUUUUACAAUAUAAAAAUACAAACUAAUAUUAAUCAAAAUUGGUAGAAAAAUAUACGAGAAAACCACAAAUUAUUUUAGAAAAGAUUUUGAAAUUUUUCAGAAUUGCAUAAAGGUAAUGUAUUAGCACCCCAAAUACGUCAUAUCUAAGGUCAGAUGCAUUCUUUAAUUGUCUGAUAUAAUUAACUAAGGGAUUGUCGUGUUUUACAAUGGUUGGUCUGUCUAAGGUUUAAAAAAAGUCAUUCUCAGUAAGGCGAUUCUUAUCUUAUCGGAUAAAAUCUAACUGUUCUAAUAUCGACAAAAAGAAAAACUAACUUUUAUUUAAUAUUAGAAAUACAUCUUACGUAUAAGUUUGUAACCUCAUAUAUUAAAAGAAAAAAAAAUAUUUUUUUCGUAUUUUUAAAAUAUUGACCUAGUUCUCAUGGUUUUAAUAAACUGGCUAUUAAAGCUCAAAAUGCAUGCUAAUACAUAUUUUUUGAAUUUUUUGAAAUUCUCAGUUGUCUCCAAAAUGUUGCAAAAAAAUAUAUAUGGAAAAAAUAUAUAUAUCUUGUUUUCAUGCAUACGACUAAAAAAUAUAAGAAAUUUCAUAUCGUAUUUUCAUACUAAAACAAAUACCAAAUUUGUAUUUUUACAAUAUAAAAAUACAAGUUAAUAUUAAUCAAAAUUGGUAGAAAAAUAUACGAGAAAACCACAAAUUAUUUUGAAAUUUUUCAGAAUUGCAUAAAGGCAAUGUAUUAGCACCUCAAAUACGUCAUAUCUAAGAUAAGAUGCAUUGUUUAAUUGUCUGAUAUAAACUAAGGCAUUGUCGUGUUUUUUAAUGGUUGGUCCGUCUAAGGUUUUAAAAAAAUCAUUCUGGGUAAGACGAUUCUUAUCUUAUCGGGUAAAAUCUAAACGUUCUAAUAUCUACAAAAAGAAAAAUUAACACUUAUUUAAUAUUGAAAAUACAUCUUACGUAUAAGUUUGUAAUCUCAUAUAUUAAAAGAAAACAAAAUAAUUUUUUUUUAUAUUUUUCAAAUAUUGACCUAGUUCUCAAGACUUUAAUAAACUGGUUAUUAAAACUCAAAAUGCAUGCUAAUAUAUAUUUUUUGAAUUUUUGAAAUUCUUAGUUUUCUCCAAAAUGUUGCAAAAAAAUAUAUAUGGAAAAACAACAAAAAAAAUCUUGUUUUCAUGCAUACGACUAAAAAAUAUAAGAAAUUUCAUAUCGUAUUUUCAUACCAAAACAAAUAUCUAAUUUGUAUUUUUACAAUAUAAAAAUACAAACUAAUAUUAAUCAAAAUUGAUAAAAAAAAAUAUACGAGAAAACCACAAAUUGUUUUAGAAAAGAUUUUGAAAUUUUUCAGAAUUUUGUCUCCUCUUUUUAAUAUAUAAUAUUAUAUUAUAUAUUAUUAUAAAUAUAUAAUAAAAAACAUUGGGAUGGGCUGGCCCAAAUAUAUGGGUUGAGCCCAUCCUUGUUAGGUUAAAAUUGGCCUAGGUUGGCCCAAAGGAGUUGGGCCAACAUCGGCCCAAGAAGUAGGCAGGAGAGCCGAAGAGUUGCACCUUUUUGAUGAAGUUUUGAUAGCUACGGUGUCCCAGAAUCCAAAUGUCACAGGCAUCCAGGAUCAAAUGGCAGAUAGUUUAGAUCUGAAAUUUGACAAGAAGAGUAAAGAAGGGAGAGCAAAUGAACUAUGGCAGAGACUGCAGGGAAAGAAGAUGCUUAUAGUCCUGGAUGAUGUUUGGAAAGAUAUUGACUUCCAAGAGAUAGGGAUCCCAUUUGGUGAUGAUCAC